AAGACAAGAGGAAAGAUUCCAACCCCGAUGGUUCUGGUCAAUACUACAUACGUACCACAAACAAAGGCCAUCACCAUCCCACAUAUCGCAAUGGCAAUACAUUCUGCUGCAGUGCCGGCGAAUCUACGUUGGUACACAGAUCCACCGCCCAAAGCAGUAUGAAAUAGUAGGAAUAAUGCCAGGACGGAGAGAACGCAAUAGUGUUAGCUAUCACAAAGGCUUGGAAAGCCGCCCUGCCAGCAAGAGUCGCCAAUCCUUGGUUGGGUCCGUCGUUGUUAUAACCUCCGGGCAUCGUGAAGGUUGCUGUGAAGGUGACUGUGGCUAUGAGCACUGCCGCCAGCAGUUGAAUCUCGAUAACUCUCCUUUUUGAUGAAUCGUCAUUUUCUCUGUUGGCGGUAUCACUUUCUGCGGUUACAGACACAGCACGUUGACCCUCAGCAAAUUGCUUAUCUAACCUCUUCUUAACAUGUUCGAUCUGCCAGCCUUGUUGAAAUGCGGAUCCAUGAGAGUGUCCCAAUACAUAAAGAACUUUUGCAGCUCUGUAGCCGACCUAAAAAAUGUAGAGAAAGUAUUAAUUAACGAGUUGUCUUUUCCGGCAAAAUACUUCAAGACCCUCACUUUACACACCAAAUACCCAUUUAUAACAGUAGAUCUCCCGGGGAGUGCUGAACAUAAUGAAGAAUUCAUUCAAUUCAUCUCUUUUAGAUACAACCAGUGAAUGGAGCUUUCUGGAUUAAAUAAUUACAGUUUCGGGUACUGCUAUAACUAAAUGAAAUUAUCUAGGAAUUGGUUGAAAUCCUUUUCCCAUACAGGGCAGAGUGUAGAAAAGAAACAGAAGGGUUUUUAGCUAAAAAUUGUACAAACUAUUAUGAUUCUUUUGUAUGAAUGUCGCACAAUAGUUGUUUCAAAGUCAAAAGGUGCCUGUCAACUUUUGGUUUGGGAUUUUCUCUUAAAGCUACGCUCUAUAUGGUUGACAGCUCAGCAUAAGAGCCAUUACACAAUUCAGAUUUAUCUUGUAUUUUUCAUUCUUUUUCCUUUCAUUUUCUUUUCUUUUUUCUUUUUAUCUUGUACUGUUACUUUAGAGGAACCCAACCCCAAAUGUUUUGCAUUGCUUUCAAGAUACUAGUUGAAGACCCGUCUGUUGCAUGUAUUUGAAAUUUAUGCUAAUCCAUUUUUUUUUUGAUGAUAUAGUACGAUCAUACGACACAAUUUUUACAAACAUCAUACAUUAUAUUUUAGACGAUUAAUAUAUAUCUAUCAAUCAAAUGAAAAAUUUAACUAAUAUUGAACAUUACUUUAUUAAGUGGUUUGUCUUAAACUAUACCUUGUUAUUCAAAUAUUUUUGCGACUAACAAUAUAUUCAAACUUAAUAUUGAUUUAAACUAUUUUUAUUUUAUGCAGUUAACUAUAGCUACUAAUACGUUUCUUUUUCGUGUAUCAGAUUUUUAAGUGGGCUUUUAUAUGCAGGAAUUCAUUAGAAGGUUCAAGACUACAAGUAUUAAUUGAAUCUACAAAAGAUUUCUAUUUUUAACAUUUUUGCAAUAAUAACUACUCGCAAGAUAAUCAAUUGGUAAACUGAAAUUCGUAUGUGAGAAUGCAAAUUCAUAAUAUGUUAAAGAUUAAAAAUAAAAAUUUGAUUGCAACUUUUUAGCUACAAUUGUGUUCUUCUGCAAUACUCAUAAAUAGGUCUUCAUAAUAUAUUUUUUUAAUAGCAUAAUCUUUUUUCUGUCUUGAACGAGCUCCUUGAAGAAGGUGGGUGAUGGGCCCCUGGGCCCCACCUUGGGGAGACAAUUCAUAAAACCCUAUGUAGCACCGACACGGACACGCGACACGUGACACGCAACACGCGACACGACAUGACACGUCGACAUGUCAUUUCUUAAAAAUAGAGAAUUUUGAUACGUUCCGACAUGUCAUAUAUUAAAUAUAUUUUUAUAUAUAAAUACAUAAAUAAAUAAUAAUAAAAAUAGCCUAGAAUUAAUUUACACGAAAACUAUUAAAUAAUAUCAUUAAUUAUUUUAAUUUGUUACAAUAAUACACAAAACUUAGAGGAAAAAAACAUUGUUUAAAGAAAAAUGCUGAAAUGAUAUUUUAAAAUUUAUUUAUUCAUAUAUAGCAUUUUUUAUUACUUCUUUCAUAGUAAAAGACUUUAAAAAAAAAUAAAACAAUUCUAAAAAAACGAAUCUAAAAAAAAAAAUUGACCCCGUGCAUGUAUAUUUAUAGCAAUUUUAUUACUUCUUUUAUUACUUCUUUUGUGUAUAUUUAUAUUUUGACCUCUCAAGUAUUAGAAUUUUUUUUAAAAUUGACCCCGUGCGUGUCGGAAUCGCGUGUCAAAAUUCUGGACUCGCGUGUUGCAUGUCGGAGCGUGUCAGGAUGUGUUGGAGCGUGUCGGACACGUGUCAGAGUAUCGGACAUGACAUGAAGGUUUUCGGAGAGUGUCCGUGCUACAUAGAUAAAACCCCCCAUGUUUUCAGUGAAAAAAUAAAUGAUUAAUAUAUUAUAUGAAUAAUCUCUUUUAUUGCUUAUGAAAUGAAUGGACCAAUUUUUUUUGUUGGAAAAUGUUUAAAUAUAAAUUGUUAUCGAUAAUGAAAUAUUUUUCAUUUACUAAUUAUUUCUUUUUUUUUGUCAGUAUUUACUAAUUAUUUCAAGUGAUCAUUUUUAGGAGAAUGUUUUCUAAAUUAUUCAUUUAAAAAAAAAUCCGUUUGUUUAACUGAAAUGAACAAUUUGAAAAAUAUUUUGCUACAAAUGAUUGCUUAUAUCGCUUAAAAUGUUUAGCUAAUGAAAAAUGUUUUUAUUGUUAAAUGCAGUGGGAGGGAAUGAAGCUUUGUUUAAUACGUAGUUCAACCAUAAAGUUCAAUUUUGUUCACUCACUCCAAGUCCCUUUUUCAAACGUAUGUCACCCUUAAUAAAGCAAUCUAUGUUACUGUUGCUAAGAAAACUACAAUGUAGUCAAUAUGCUCAAACAAUUGAAUAAGCAAAACAAGUUGAUGCAAAAAGAUUUCGAUUGGGUUGUUUGUUUGCACCUGAAAUUAGUAUCUCCUGGGCCAUAGUUUCUAAAUGAUACCGAAGAAAUGACUUUGCUAGUGAUCAAAUCAAGCUCUAUGGUGUUCAAGCAAGCGUACCUCGUCGUAAGCCCAAAAAAUGUCAAGGGCGGUCAAAUGAUCCUUAUUUGUGGCCAAACGGUCCACCCUCUUCUCUUGUGCCAGUAUGUAUAUGAUUUUGUACUGUUUAUGAAGUGCAGCCAAAUGUAGGGCUGUGUUUCCAUCGGUGUCUUGUUCGUUGAUAAUAUCCUCCAGAUUUGGCAUUCCCAGUGUGUACUUCACUACAUUUACCUGUCCACCGAGAAUAGCUGCAUGAAGAGCCGUUUGCCCUUCGGUGUUCAUAAUGUCACAAACAUCGGGACGAGAUCUAAGAAGCUCGUCAAUGACAUUGACGUGACCACAAAAGGCCGCAAUGUGAAGAGCCGAUUGCCCCUCUUUGUCUAUGUCGUAUGCCGCAGAAGUAUUGUAUUGCAGGAGCGCUUUAACGCUAUUGACCCAACCGUACGAAGCGUAAUAAUGAAGAGGAGUCCACCCAAUAUCAUCUGCUUCUCUGAUCACUUUUGGCCUCUUCCUCAUGAUUUUCCGCCGAUCUUUGCCAAUACGAUGGGAAAUGUCAUGAUUUAGACUCUCUUUUAGCAUAUAGAUAUUAAAGCUGCAUUUCAUCCCGUAUAGUUUUUCCCUUUUUCCAUGUACUUGGAAGGAAUAUGUCAUGAUUAUUCUGAAGUUUCUCUAAUGAUCAUGGGUAACACAUGUAGAAUCUAACUACCUUCAAUCUAGCAUAAUGCAGAAAAUUCGUAAAUUUUUUCAUUUUGAUAGAGUGAAAUUAUUAGAAAUUCGUAAAGUUGAUUUAGAAGAAGCUUCUUUUAUAUUUAGCAAGGCAUUUGCUUGGUCAAGGUUAGAAUAAAAGACGAUGGCUUUUUACUCCGAUGCCAAUCAUUUUAUGGAAGUAUUGUGCCCAACUCAAUUUUAUACAUAUAUUGAAUAAUAAAUAAAUAUUGAGAGAGAGAGAGAGAGAGAGAGAGAGAGAGAGAGAGAGAGAUUUUGUUAAAAUUUCUUUCAUUGGCUUGGAAUCUAGGGAUACUUACUAGUUUUCGGACGAUAAAUUGUGGCGUGCAGAGCUGUCAUUCCCUUAGGGCCCUUAUGAGAUAAUGACAACGGAGAAACACGUAAAAUCAGAUCAGUGAUAAGAGGAAGUCCUCGAUGUGCUGCAAGAUAAAGGGGGGACUCCUCAGCAGCAUUAGUAAUAUUACACAGUUGACAAUCUUCAUCAAUCAGCAACUUCACCACCCCAUCAUGGCCUCCUCUUAAUGCAUAGUGUAGCACCGUAUCCUUAUGCGAAUUGGGCUUUCGAAGUAGUCCUUUGCAUGCGACAACUUGUCCGUUUUCAACAACCCAAUGCAGUGAUUUUGCUAGAUUAAUGAAGACUUGAACUGCUUCCCAGCUUCCUGCUUUAGCAGCAAGGUGUAGGGGAGUCUCUCCUUUGCAAUUACCCUGCCAAAGAAGGGAUGGCCCAGAUGAACGUUGAAGAAUUUGUCUAAUGAAAUUCACCUGCUUGUAUUGAGCCGCAACAUGAAGAAUGCUGUUCUCCUUUGGUGUUGUUUGGCAGAAAAUGUCCUCUCCUUUUCUUGAAAUUAUUGCCUCCAGAGAAUCAAAGUCUCCUGACUUUGCAGCCUCGUACACUUUGGGAUUCAUUCUCACUGUCUCUCUAUCUAUUCCGGGAUGUAGAGUACUUGUGAGUGAACUCGAAUAUAUAAGCAUUAAGUUCAAGUGAGAGGCAUAUCUUUCAUAGAAUAUUUUUUCAAAAAGCCAAAUUGAUCUAUUUCUUUGAAGUUUCCGUUCUCCCACAAGCGAAUCGAAAGGAAAAAGAUCAAGCAAAAACCAAACCAAAAGAAUUCAAUGGCCAGGUAACCCAGCAGCUUCUUCUUCUUCUAUUUUUUUGACUUUUGAACCAUCCUGUCUUCCACUUUUCAUCAAAAUCAAAAUCAUUGCACAUCCACUAUACUUCUUGGAAUAUCAUAACUUUAGACUUUCGUGCCUUCCCCCGGUGAGUACGUAGCGAUGAGAACCAUCUUCGAUAGUUCUUCAGCCAAGUGAACCUUCAAGGAAGAUGUCAUCGGAUGCUGUCAUUCGGAUUAGGGAAAUUCUAACGAAUCAAUUCUCAACGGCCAUAAGAACCACCGUCGCCAUUGCUAUGCAUCACCGCAACCGAUAUCUCUCCCUUGGCCUGACACCGUCGUCCACUGGCUUGAACAUGGCGACAAAUAGUCUCAACUCAUCGACCUGCCACCACUUAGCCCCUCCGCCACCGCCACUGCCACCUCGAUCUCCACCCCAACCCUAUUUUUAACGCUGAAUAUUUAAGUAAACAAAUUAUGCAAUCUCGACCAGUUGUGUGCAAAGGCCAUAUACAUCUAUGUGUACCAUGAAAAUCUCUUAAUUGGUUAUUGAUUAACAUUUCUAUCAAAAUAAGUAACGAGUUUAUUCAUAGAUUUAAUUCACUUAACUAAGUGACUUUUUUUUAUUGGUUGUAAUAUAUGAAAUGCUUCGAAAAGGUAUUUUCCAGCACACUAAAAUAAGGUUAAUCGGACAAGACCAAAGAAAGCCCUUUUUCCUGCUCGAAAAGCCUUUUUAAUAGAAACCUGUUAUCACAUCGGCAUAAAUGAGUUGUUGUAUUGGUAGAUAAGUCUUUUAUAAUCUCAAACUAGUAUGACAGGCUCUGAAGCCGUGCUUUUGUAAGUGCAGUGACCAAAGCUAGAAUAUUACAUGUUGGUGCAUUAGGCUCGUGCGACAUGUUGUAACGGUAGAUAGAUCUUCCCCAGCUCGAAGUAGUGCGAUGCAUUUUAACGUCGUACGGGAGAAGAUGAAUCCAGGUUAUAGAGGACAAUAUCAUGUUGACGGCAAGGCCAGGUAAUGCUAUUUUUUCUUUCGGUCAGAAAAUAAAGCAUACAUAUUGAUAUACGGUCUUGCAAACACCGCCAAUAAACCCAUUUACCCCUUUGUCCUCUAUUAUCUUCACUUUACUUAUCAAAAGACUUUCUUUUUUGCAAACACUAACGCAUUGAGUUUACUCAAUUUGUAACUUCUUUUUUCUUUGGGCUAAUAUCCUAAAAGCUCCAAAUUGGUACAGGUAUAAUAAAUUUACCACAAACUAUUUUUUUAAUCAUAAAAAACCUUAAACUAGUAUACCUGUGAUAGUGGUUUGGGAUAAAUUUGUCAAAAGUGUACAAGUUUGAAGUUUUUGGUGGUCAAAAAAUUAAUUUGAGGUAAAUUUGUCACAAGUAUACUAAUUUGAGGUUUUUUUUAGAGUAUUAACCCUUUUUCUUUUUAUAGUCUAGGGGCAUGAAAGCAGAAACCUGGCGAUUUGGACAUUCAUGGAAUGCUUUACAAGAGUCUACAAAUCUGUUCCAUGAAUCGGUUAAAUCCAGACUUUUGACAUGUGUAGAUAAUCUGACUUAGAACAAUUUUUACAUUGUUAGAAUAUAUGAGGUUGUAGAUAUUUCUGUCAUGCUAGACUACUAUCUUCUUAAAUAAGGAUGGAAGCGAGAUUAAUGGGAGGCCAACAUGAGGGAUUUUACCAAUGAUUUCAAAAAGUUAUUUUUUGCCAAAGUUUUCACAUAUAAACUUGAGAAGUUAAUUUUUGGACCUUGGGGGAGGAGACCCUUCACUUCGCGCUAGAUCCGUCCUUGUUCGUAAGUCAUGAUCUUGCGAAGUCAAAUACCGUCCCCUGGCUAUGAAAUACUAAGAUAAGUAUGAGUUUGCGAAUAACUCGAUAAAUUAAGUGAAAUAUUUUAAUACAUUUUAAACACGAUAUUCACGUCUAUUUAAGUUGAUCACUACGUGUUAGUAUUAUUGAUUUUUUUUUCCUUCAAAAACAAUAUAUCAUAGUAAUUGAUUCGGAUGAACGAAACAGAAUCAUAUCAACAAAGAAUCACAAAAAUCUCUCUAUAAAUUAACCUCCAAAAGGGAAAAAAGAAAAGAAAAGUAAAACCAGCAACUUCCUAGAAAUUUCUUAGUCACCGGAAGCCAGUAAUAUUGCGUAUAUUAUAUUGGUUAAGUGUUAAGCAACACGUAUAUAAUAUAGGCCUUAAUUAAACGGUGAAAAUUUAGGUGUAAGAGUGGUCUAUAGGAGGAAUAGUCAAUACAAGUUUCCGAUGAAACAAUUAGGCACGACGCUGGAUCGAACCAAUUAUUUGAUAAUAAAACUUGCACCAUCCGGAAUUAUUAUUUUUUUGUCCAUUUCCGUAUAACUUAGAAAGUGAUAAAAGAAAUCAGAAAAUUACCAAUUCACUAGGAAAACUACUUCCCACGUGGCAUUUUCAGUGGCGGAAUUGUAGGGAAAAAAUUUAAGUGCAAGAGUGGCUUAGAGGAGGAAUAGCCAUGGAAGUUUCCGAUCAAUCCACCUGUCCCACACCAUCGUCACAAAAAUCUUUUGGAUUACUGAACCAUUCAGCAAAAGAGACUGGAGGUUGUGCGUGUUGCGUAGGAAUUUCUGCGGGCUUUCGAAAAAGGAAUGGCUUAAAUGGUUGAGUGGGAAUUGGGGCACGGUGGGGGAGUUUCUUCGAGGUUUCCUAGAGGAUUGGACAGCAGGGUUAGUCAAGGGAGAAAUUUCUUUGAGUUUUUCAAGAAGACUAGGAAGGAGAUUAUUACAGACUAUCAUACGGAUGGCCCACCCCUUGGACGGUUGGUGGUGCUUUCCUGAUCUUCGCUGCGAUGAAGCAGGUACAAUAAUGUCUCCCAACCUCCGGCUUGAGUGGGCGCUUUCUGGAUUCAACUGCAUUGUCCAUGCAGCAUGUGGCUUCGGGGUAACUUCUCCAUAUUUAUGGACCCACUCUCCUUGUUCAUUUCGAUGGGGAUGUAGGAUGAAGAGCACUCUGAAUUUUCUCCGAGUCGAACUUAGGAUCAGUGUGAAGUGCGAAAAUUAUCAAGAAAAUACAAAACUUGUUUUAUGUAUAUUAAUUCAAUUGUAAACUUUUCAAUUUGGCUAAUUUAAUCCUAAAAAUUUGAUACUAUUUUUAGUUCACUUCAAAGAAAAUUUUCAUCACCAAGUCCAGCCCAAGGUUACAAAAGAAUUCAAUUUUGUCGUUGUAGGGUGUUCUGACAGCGACAAAAAUAUUACUUUUGUCACCUUAAGCAUACCAAAGGUGACGAAAGAAUAAUUUUUGUCUACUUAGGGUUCCAGAAAGGCAAAAAUUCCUACCAAAAGUGAGCAACAAAAUUCCAGGUUUCGUCACCUUAGGGUCGACCCAAAUUCUCAGUUUGCCAUCCCAGGUCACACCCAAAAGCAAUGAAAAAAAAAAGAUUUUUGUCACUUUAGGACCGCUCUAAGGCAAUAAAAUUAUUUUAUGGCCGUAGUUUCAAAAUUUUCCCAUCUCAAUGCGGACAAAGUUUGAAUUUUGUCGCUUAGGCCCAAACCUAAUGCGAUAAAACCAAUAUUUUGUCGCUUUAGACCUCAUCAAAGGCGGCAAAGGCGACAAAAGCGAGAAAACCACGAUGUUGUCGCCUUAGAUUCAAUCUAAGGUCAGGAAAUACUGUAGGUUGAAAAUUAUCCCAACUUUGAUUGAAUCAAUACGAAUUUUGUUGCCUUUGGGUGACUUUCUUAUUUGUCAAGAAAAAAUCUAUCUCCCUCUCCAAUUCGAUGGAGAAGAGUAGGUGCAAGUGAACUUAUCAUACAUAUGAGCAAUAAGUUCAAGUCGGAAUGGUGGGCAUAUUGCAGAGGAAUUUCUCUGGCCUUUCUAAGAGGAAUGAUCUAAAUGGUCGAGUGGGAAUAAGGGCACCGAGGAGGAGUUUCUUUGAGCUUUCCUAGAGGAUUUGGACAGCGCGGUUAGUACAAGAUAGAAAUUUCUUUGAGCUUUCGAAGAUGACAAGGAAAGAGAUUAUUACGAAAACUGAUAUACGGAUGGUCCCCCCGUUGGACGGUUGGCUCUCUUUUUCUCUUUCACUGCUUUUCUGGUCCUCUCUCUUGCGUGUGUCAGACCACUUUUGACCUCACGUUCUCUCUUUUUAGAAUUGUGGUCCCUUUCUCUUUGUAUCUUUUGUGGACGUCACGGACUCCUUUGCUGGGGCUACACUUCAAUGGAACCAGAACCACAAAGACCAGACUCCGCGACUCNNNNNNNNNNNNNNNNNNNNNNNNNNNNNNNNNNNNNNNNNNNNNNNNNNNNNNNNNNNNNNNNNNNNNNNNNNNNNNNNNNNNNNNNNNNNNNNNNNNNNNNNNNNNNNNNNNNNNNNNNNNNNNNNNNNNNNNNNNNNNNNNNNNNNNNNNNNNNNNNNNNNNNNNNNNNNNNNNNNNNNNNNNNNNNNNNNNNNNNNNNNNNNNNNNNNNNNNNNNNNNNNNNNNNNNNNNNNNNNNNNNNNNNNNNNNNNNNNNNNNNNNNNNNNNNNNNNNNNNNNNNNNNNNNNNNNNNNNNNNNNNNNNNNNNNNNNNNNNNNNNNNNNNNNNNNNNNNNNNNNNNNNNNNNNNNNNNNNNNNNNNNNNNNNNNNNNNNNNNNNNNNNNNNNNNNNNNNNNNNNNNGGAUUUCUUAUUUAAUUGUGGUCGUUGGUUUCUGUCAUUGUCCACUUUCUCUUCUAGUCACGUAUUUCUUUCCCUAUGUUGAUACUCUCAAUUUUUGGUCAUAAGAGAUUGGCAGGAUUGGGCUAGUUUCCUCUCGCCGCGGACUUAAUCUAACUCGUCUAAUUAAAGUUUAGAACCAUCAACUUAAACCCAUCUAUUACUAGUCCAAUGCAAAUGCAAUAAAAAAAUGUUCAUAAAUCUAUAUGUUAUGCAAUUUAAUUCUAAUAUUUUUGUUUAAGGAUUAAAAUUAAUUCUUAAUUUUUAAUGCAAUAAGUGAAUGAUCAGAUUGUCAAAAUUUAUAUGUCAACAAUUCCUUUUUAUACUCAUCGGUGAUUCCAUGAAAUCUUUUUGUUUGUUAUUAUUUUGUGGAUGAAAAUGUGAUCGAUAUGGGCAAUCCAAAUGAUAUAGAAUUUGUGCCCACGUAUGUGAAUAUAUCCAAACAUAUUCAAGACAAUCAUGAACAACUCCCUCUGGAUCCACACCAGAUACCAUGAGAAGCUCUUCCGCACGGGCCAUGAUUAUUGUUUUGUAGUGAGAGCAGGUGUUCUGUCUGACCACUUCUCUUCAUUUAUCACUUGAUCUGCAUACUUCUUUGGCAAACCUUUCAACAAAGAAAUCAAGAUACAUGAUCAAGGAAGGGAAUGUCAUCCAAAAGCUAAUGUAGUAAUCACGAGGCAUACCAUGUGCAUCGGCAAGAAAGCAUCACGCAUUGGUCGUCUUUACAAAUUCAACUUGUAAAAGUUGAGGAGCUGCAAAGCCCAUACUUGCAAAGUUGAGAGAGAAACUACUAGAAUUUCUAACGGUGGGCCCAAGGAUGACACCUGUCAUCUAUUCAAUGGAUUAUUGCAAAUCUUCCGUGAUAUCACCUGUAUACCUAAUAUUCUCUUCUAGUCUGAAUGAUUGAGUUGGGGGCAUUGGGGAGGAGUUUCUUCUAGCUCUCCUAUAAAAUUGGACAGCACGGUUAGUACAAGCAAGAAAUUUCCUUGAGUUUUCAAAGAGGAGUUUCUUCUGGCUUUCCUAGAGGAUUAGACAGCACGGUUAGUACAAGGAAUAAAUUUCCUUGAGUUUUCGAAGAGGACUAGGUGUGAGAUUAUUACAGAGACCAUUAUACGAAUGCUUCGAAAGGUAUUUUCUAGCACACUAAAAUAAUGUUAAUUGGAAAAGACCUAAGAAAGCCUUUUCUCUUGUCAGAAAAACCUUCUUAAAGAAAACCUAUUAAUCGAAGUGGAAGUUUUUUUUUUUUUUAAUCCUGAGACAUAGGCAUGCACAAUGGGUCAUUUUUUUUUUUUUGGUCUGACACAUUGGGUCAUUUGAAAGCUCAUGUCCUCUCGUAUCUUCACUUGACUCUAACUUANNNNNNNNNNNNNNNNNNNNNNNNNNNNNNNNNNNNNNNNNNNNNNNNNNNNNNNNNNNNNNNNNNNNNNNNNNNNNNNNNNNNNNNNNNNNNNNNNNNNNNNNNNNNNNNNNNNNNNNNNNNNNNNNNNNNNNNNNNNNNNNNNNNNNNNNNNNNNNNNNNNNNNNNNNNNNNNUACGCAAAGAUGUAUGUGCCUGAUAUGUACCAUGAUUUAAGCUUGAGAUCAUAUUAUAUACUAUAAGUGAUGACCUAAUAGUUUAUGAGUUUUGAUUUAGGUAUGUAUGGUGCCAAACAUGCUUCUAUCUAACAUGGGCAUGUAUGAAUUGUUGUAUUGGUAGAUAAGUCUUUCACAAUCUCAAACUAAUAUGACGGGCUUCGAAGCUGUGCCAGCGUGAGUGAGCCGUGACCAAGGCUAGAAAUUUACUUGUUGGUGCAGUUUGCUCGUGGGACAUGUUGUACCGGUAGAUAAAUCUCCCACAACUUGAAUCUAGCACGAUGCAUUUUGACGCUUUGUGGGAGAACAGGAAUCAAGGUUAGAGAGGACAAUUUCAUGGCGGCGGCAAGGUCAGGUAAUGCUAUUUUUUCGUUUUGCCAGAAAAUAAAGCAUAAAUAUUGAAAUACAGUCUUGCAAACACCAUGAAUAAACCCUCUCGCACCUUUGUCCUCUCUUAUCUUCACUUUACUUAUCAAAAGAUUUUCUUACAAAAACUAACAUAUAAAAAUUAAUCAUUUUGUAACUUUUCUUUCUUUUUAUAAUCUAGGGGCACGAAAGUGAAAAUCCCGCUAUUUGGAGAUUAAUGAAACACUUUACAAGGGCCUAUGAACUGGUUAAACCUGUACUUUUAGCCUGUGCAAAUAACCUGACUCAAAUACAUAGGGUCAUAGAUAUUUCCACAAUGCUAAGAUAAUAUCUUGACAAAUAAGGACGGAAGGGAGAUUAAUGGGCGGCCGACAUGAAAAAAAUUUGCCCAUGAUUUCAAAUUUNNNNNNNNNNNNNNNNNNNNNNNNNNNNNNNNNNNNNNNNNNNNNNNNNNNNNNNNNNNNNNNNNNNNNNNNNNNNNNNNNNNNNNNNNNNNNNNNNNNNCGGGUCGGGUUGGGUCUGACCCGACCCGGAUUCGGCCCGGUCGUAGACCGGACCCGGGUUUGGUCAGGUCAGUCCGGACCGAGUCUAACCCGGUCGAGGCAGGUCGGUCAGAUCUGCCCGGGUUCGGCUCGGAUAGGGGUCAGGCCGAACCGGCCCGUUCGAAUGACAAGGCCCGACCAUUGGUCGGGCCUUGCUUGGCUCGAAUUGGGCCCCAACCAGUUGGUCCAAUCUGCUAUAUAUAUAUAUAUAUAUAUAUAUAUUUAAAAAAAAAAAAAAAGAAGCCCACAAGCCCUAAGUUCCUAGCCCAAUAUUCCACAAGUCUCUAAAAAGCCCGAAAGCCCAAAACUAACCCAAAUAGCUUAGAAACCCUACCCGGUUCAGGACCCGUGUUCGACUCGUUUCUUUUGGCCGAAACCCUAGGGUUUCUUGGCGGCGUUGGCAGCGGCGACGGGUUUGGUGGUGGCGGUGACGCGGCGGGCGGCAGCGGCGACGCGGCGUCUGCGAAGACGAGCGGCACUCGAGCAGAGGGGGGCGUCACGGACGCGUGGGCUGCAGGCGAGUCGGGGCACGGCGAUGGUGGUGCGAUGCUCGCGGAUCUGGUGCUCGGGCAGAAGGGUGCGGUGACGCGGGUGGUAGGCGUUGGUCGAGCGAUGAUGGGUAGCGCUUCGACACGAUGGCGAGUUGCUGCAGGGCUCGCGGGUUUGAGCAGAGACGGUGGCAGCAGUGGCGGCGUCGCAACUGGGCAGAGGCGGGCUGCUGGGGACGGCGUUCAGAGGGCAGCGGCUUGGACGGCAGCAACGGUGUUGACUUCACGGGUUGCUGGUGUUGCGAGGGGCCGAGCAGCGGCGGUCGGCGACUCAGGCAAUAAGGGACGCCGGGUCGGAGGCGCAAGCGCGGCGGAGGGGGCUCGGCGAACGCGGGAUCUGCAGGCUGCAGGUGAGGCGAAGCAGAUGCAGGUUGACGCUGGUUGUUGGCGAAGUGGCGACUCGGCUUCUCUAGAUCUAGGUUUCGGGGAAGAUAGUGGUAGUCUCGGUUGGUCGAGCGGCGUCGGGUUGGGGCGGUGAGGAAGACAGCGGCUCGGAUGGAAGAUGGAGGGCGGCGGUGACGCGGGUGUCAGGCCUCGGUCGGCCGGCAGCGGCGGCGGCGGCGGCGGCGGCCGCCGCCCUUCGUUCUGGUUUUCUGUUUCUCUUUUUUUUGCUUUUUCCUUCGUCUCUCUCGAGCUCCCUGUUCACUCUCCUCCUCCCCUGUUGAGCUCUCUCUCUUCUCUGUUUUUCUCUGUCGCGCUCACUCUCCCUCUCUCCAGUUCUCUGUGCUGGGUCCCCCUUUUUUCUUUCUCCUUUUUUUUUUUCAUGCUGCUACCUUCUUUUUGCAGGUUUCGUGUGCGAAACAAGCUGGAGGAGGACAGAGGCUAACGUGGGCCGGGCCAAGAGGGAAAACGGGCUCAACCCCUUCCAUUUUUUUUCUUUUUUUUGUUGUUUUUGCUUUUCUUUUUCUUUUUUCUUUUUUUUUUUGCUUUGUUUGUUUGUUUUUUUUUUCUUUUUAGUGGCUAAUUCAUAAUCUGUAGACAAUUAAAUCCUAAAUGAAAAAUGGGAAAAUUUAGGUGUCAACAGCUAUGAAGGAAUUCUUAAAUUUUGCUCUGUACGUGGUCUCACUCGACAUGAGGGCCAAAUGGCAUGUUUAUAGUAUUGAAUAUAUCACCGCCUAUCUCUCGUGACUCUUCGUGUUUUGGUCGAAAGGCUGUUUAGUUUCCAGCGGAAACCGUUUCAGCACACAUAUUAAAGUGUCCUUAUUACUAUUUAUUUAGACAGGUUGUCUUUAUGACUAUUUAUUUACACAUGUCUUUCAUAUAUCUAAGGAAUGUCAAGAGUCACAUUUUAAGCCUAUAUAUAAACGAGUCUUGUAAUCGUUUCUGAAAAGAGUGAAAAUAUUUUUCAGCAAGUAGUAUAUUCAUCUCCUUCCUUAAAGAGCUUCUAUUGUGAGAGUGUUACCAGAGCUGUGCAACUCUGAUAUUCAACAAUUGGUAUCAGAGCAAGGUUAUCUAGGACCGGGAGCACGGUUGUUAGGGACCUUGAGUCAAGUCUUCCGGAGCAUAGUUCGUGAAGAUGGUGGUCAAGGACCAUUGUUCGUGCACAAGCGGUCAAGGACUGGAAUACGUCGAAGUUCUGCCAGUGUACAGUCAGGGACUUUCUUGGAGUAGUGCUGGGCAUUAUUUCAAGUCAUAUGGCGGAUAUUUCAAAUUCGAUGAAUGGCAUUGAGAAGCUCAACAACUCCAAUUACAAUAAUUGGAGUGUCCGGAUGCAGUUUUAUUUGAUGGGUCAGGAUUUGUGGGAUAUUGUUGGCGGCGGCAACACCACGGCACCCAGAGACGAUGAUGGAUAGAGGAGAUGGAAGAUAAAAGCGGGUAAGGCUCUUUAUGCUCUUGCUGUAACUGUUGAAGAUGAUUUAUUGCCGCACAUUAGGAGCGCGCAGACUCCCGGGGAGGCGUGGGAUAACUUGGCAGCAUUAUUUGCAAGGUUGAAUGAUGCCAAACUACAAAGGCUGGAGAACGAGCUGCUGUCGAAAUCUAUUUGUGACAAAAUUUCAAAGCUGGAUCCCGCUAAUGCCAUCUCAGAAACAAAAAUGAGAAGAAUUAUUAUUCACGGGUUAAAGCCGGAAUAUAAUGGUAUUAUUACGGCUACUCGUGGAUGGGCAACUCAACCGACGUUGACCGAUCUAGAGAAUAUUCUGGCUAACCAAGAGACUUUAGAUAGUCAAAUGUCUAAGGUUUCGGUUAAGGAAGAAGAAAGUGCCCUCUUUAGUGAUAAAAGAGGGUUCAAAGGCCAGAGGCGAACCAGUGCUGACAAUAAAGAUGGCAAGUCCAGGAAAAGCCAUGUCGAAUGGCAAAAGCAACCAGCUUGUGAAGGAUGGCAAAAGCAUCCAGGAGAGUUGAGCCUUCGACCAGGGGGAGCCGGGCGAUGCGAUGGCCAAAGACGUAGUGGACGAUGUUACGUCUGCGGCAAGGAGGGCCACUUUGCUAGAGAUUGUCGAGCGAAGAAAGUUGAAGGAAAUGUCGCAGCAUCAUCGAAGAGGAAUGAUUUCGAUGAAGAUAAGGAAUGAGAUUUCCAAACGUUUGUUGCAAUAGUAGUGUCAGACGAGUUCGCUGCCUCUUCCGCAGUUGAGUUAAACGAUGUGAUGGCAUUAAUCUCUGUAAGUGAAAAGUCGAUUAAUUAUGAUUAUGACUGGAUUGUUGAUUCAGGGUGUUCGAGUCAUAUAACUGGAGAUCAAGACAAACUGUCGAACAUGCGUAAUUAUAGCGGAGGACGUGUUGUUACUACUGCAGACGGCUCGAGAUUGCCGAUUACUCAUAUCGGCGAGACGAUAAUAACUCCUUGGUUCAAUUCACAACAAGUUAAAUUGAAAAGUGUGUAUCACGUGCCAGGAAUGAAGAAGAAUUUAUUGUCUGUGUCCCAGCUCACAGACUCGGGUAAUUAUGUGGUGUUCGGUCCACGAGAUGUUAAGGUGUACCGAAGUUUGAAGCCCACUAGUCGAUCAAUCAUGGAAGGAUGUCGGUUGGAGUCCGUUUACGUGAUGUCUGCUCAAACGGCAUACGUAAACAAAACCCGAAGGAAUGAUACACCUGAUUUAUGGCAUGCGUGGCUUGGGCAUGUAAGUUAUCACAAGUUGAAGGUGAUGAUGCAAAAGAACAUGCUGAGGGGUCUUCCCUAGUUGGAAGUGUAGGAAAAUGUGGUUUGCGCCGGGUGCUAGGACGGGAAGGCACAUCAACUCCUGUAUGAGGAAUCGUCAUUCAAAGCUCAGAUGCCUCUUGAGCUCAUUCACUCGGAUGUGUUUGGUCUAUUGAAGCAGCAAUCAGUUAGCGGAUUGAAGUAUAUGAUCACUUUCAUCGACGACUUCUCCAGGUACGUCUGGGUUGAUUUCAUGAAGGAAAAAUUUGAGGCAUUUAUUAAAUUUAAGGUGUUUAAGGAGAAGGUUGAAAGUGAAGUAGGUAGAAAAAUUCAUUGCCUACGUAAAGAUAACGGGGGAGAGUACACUUCCUAUGAGUUUACAAAGUAUUUGCAAGAGUACAAGAUACGUCGACAGUAUACUUGUCCAUAUACGCCGCAGCAGAACGGUGUUGUUGAAAGAAAGAAUCAGCAUCUAGCUGAGACAUGCAGGAGCAUGUUGCAUGCGAAGAAUGUUCCACCGAGGUUUUGGGCUGAAUGUAUGAAGAUGACGGCUCAUGUGAUUAAUAGGCUGCCACAAGCAAGGCUUGGUUUUAUGUCACCAUACGGGAAGCUAUGGAAUUGCAAGCAUGUGGUAAGUCACUUUAGAGUUUUCGGAUGUGUAUGUUAUGCAUUUGUGCCUGAUCAUCUUUGCAGCAAAAUUCAACAAGAAGGCAAUCCGCUGCAUAUUCGUGGGAUAUGAUGAUCAACGAAAGGGGUGGAAGUGUUGUGACCCUACAAUAGGGAGGUGCUAUACUUCAAGGAAUCUGGUGUUCGACGAAAUGUCGUCUUGGUGGUCACCUCAAGCAAUUGAAUUGCCAAAUUCACAGCAUUUCGACGAAGAGUUCGAAGAAAGGCUGAAAGAAUUUGAUGAGAAUCAGCCUGUUGAAAAAGAUGUCGAAGCACAAUCACCAGGAUCGACAAGUUCAUCUAGUGAGCAUCCAAGGUCAACAGAAGAACUUCGACCAAGUCAGGUUGAAGAACUUGAAAAGGAGGAGCCUCAACUUCGGAGAUCGACGAGGCAAAGGAAGUCGAACCCCAAGUAUGCCAAUGCAGCAUUAACUGAAGAUGUUGGCAUGGUCGAGCCAUCGACAUAUGAAGAAGCCUUGAAGAGUACAAAAUGGAGGAAGGCCAUGGAAGAAGAAAUCCUCGCACUAAAGAAGAAUGAGACAUGGGACUUGGUACCAAAACUUGAAGAGGACUAAGCAUGUGGAAGUCCACUAUCACUUUCUGCAAGAGAAAGUGUUGGAGGGCGAGAUCAAGAUGAAGUACAUCAAGACAGGUGAUCAAGUUGCUGAUAUUUUCACCAAAGGUCUUGGAGUUGCAAAGUUUGAAGAGUUUCGAGCUCAGCUUGGUAUAGUCGCAAGGACUAUCCUUAGAGAGAGUAGUCAGUGAGGGGGAGUAUUGAAUAUAUCACCGCCUAUCUCUCGUGACUUUUCAUGUUUUGGUCGAAAGGCUGUUCAGUUUUCAAUGGAAACCAUUUCAGCACACAUAUUAAAGUGUCCUUAUUACUAUUUAGUGUUCUUAUUACUAUUUAUUUAGACAAGUUGUCUUUAUGACUAUUUAUUUAGACAUAUCUUUCAUAUAUCUAAGGAAUGUCAAGAGUCACAUUUUAAGCCUAUAUAUAAACGAGUCUUGUAAUCGUUUCUGGAAAGAGUGAAAAUAUUUUUCAGCAAGUAGUAUAUUCAUCUCCUUCCUUAAAGAGCUUCUAUUGUGAGAGUGUUACCAGAGCUGUGCGACUCUGAUAUUCAACAUACAGUAUUGAUCAAGCAACAGAACUCAUACACAGCGUGUACUACAUGUUUGUGAUGGUCGUUUUCUUCAUUUGAUUUCCUUUAUGAAAGCACAUGGGCACCAAACAUAUUAUACCAAUCAGGGGUUCCAAGAAAUCCGUCUGUUAUUGUUUUAGGGAUGGAAAAUGUUAUUGGUUUGGGGUGGUCAAAAUGAUGUAGAAUCUAUGCCCAUUGUAUGCGAAUAUUUUCAAAUUAGGAACAGCUCCAUCUGGAUCCUGCAUCAGAUAGCCAGAGAAGCUCAUGCACACGGGUCAUGAUUGUUCUUUUGCAGCAAGAGCAGGUGUUCUGCCCAAUCACUCCUCUCCAUUUAUCUCUCGAUCUGCAUGCUUCUUUGGCAAACCUUUCAACAAAGGAAUCAAGAUACAUCAUCAAGAAAGGGAUUCUCAUACCAAAGCUAAUGGAGUAAUCAAGAGGCAUACCUUGUGCAUCAACAAGAAAGCAUCAUGUAUUCAUCGUCCUUACAAAUUCAACAUGCUACUAUUACACAUCAAACAGCUUUUGCUAAAGGAAAGGGAAAAGCAAAAACUUAGGGCCCAUUUUCAUCUCCUGGGUGACUCUUCUUUUUGGAGUAGACACUUGUUUAUAGACUAGUAUUGUAUAUAAACUCAGUUUGUUUAUAAAAGAUGUUUUUGUGAAAAUUUGUAUCUUGCUUUUCUAUCCCAAUUGAGUGUUGUAUGGGGAUUUGUUUAUUCACUUCCGCAUGUGCAUUAAAAUGAAUGGGUCGGUGACACAUCCUGGGACGUCGCAAUUUUAUUGACCACCGAGGGAUGUGCGUGUGCUUGAGCUUUGGGGCGUGGCACUUUAUAUGAAUGCGUGUGCGCAUGUGAUUCAACAAUCAAACAUAAGAUAAACAUUAAGUACACAUGUUGAAUCCUUUUUUAACGCAUCCCACAUUUAGCACCAAUGAUAUUGGUGGAAUCACAUUUAGUAAAUAACUAAUUGCUUAUUUCAAUAGCAAUGAGACGUAUAUUUUUCUAUUCGGCGUAUUCAAAGUUAUACUAAUUAUUUGGUUAUUGCUAAUUUUAUCCAUCUACUGACAUAUUUUGUGAUCCCUUAAAGGAUCAACGAUUGAAGAGGAAAAAUGAACAUAUGACUUGACAUCCAAAGAUCAAUAAUUAAGGAGGAAACGUUAUAGCUAUUUGGUGUAGAUAGUGGGAGGGACCACAAUUGAGGUACAUUUUCACUCAGCUCACAAUGAAUCAAAUCUCCAUAUACAAGAAUUUGUCUCUUGCUCCCAUGUACUAAUCAAUAUCAAACGAUACCAUAAUUUGACAAAAAACAUCUGGAACCACUCUGCUCUUUCUAGGACCAUGAUGAUGAUAUGCUGAUAUGACAAGAUCAUGAGAGCAAAAUCUGAUUUGAAUCAGUAAUUUUUUCCUUGUUGACAUGACCAUUGUAGUUUAAUUCUCCCAUUAUUUUUGUUCACAAUAUUUUUACUAUUUUUCUAUUAAGUGUUGGUCUCUAUUCUAGACGAAUGCUAAAAAUAUAUUCAUAAGUGGUCAUUGUAUUGAGAAAGUUUACUAGAUGCCUCCUCUUAUAAAUAUCCGUCCUUCCAACAAAGUGCGUCCUCUAUGUAGAGCAUCUUAUGUUUUUAAAUGGGUCAUUGUGCGUGGCAUUCCAAUUUAGGCUUUACCAUGGAUUCUCUUGACUUCAAAUCCAGUUCUUAUGACCAUACUUUUUUUGUUUGGUGCACAUUCCAUGGGUAGGUUAUGUUGCUUUUAUAUGUGGAUGACAUUGGUUGUUUCUAGCGAUGAUCAUAUUGGCAUAUCCAAACUCAAGGAAUAUCUCAUUGUGAAAUAAACGGCAUUGACAUGACCCAAACUGAUUUUCAUGUUGUAUGGCAUUUAUUUUUUUAUAUUUUUUUUAUUAGGAUGUGGGAGUAAGAGACAAAUUCUUGCAUAUGUAGAUUCGAUUCAUCUGAGUUGAGCGAAAAUGAAUCUCAAUCAAUGUCCAAUAGCUUUAAUCAUAAAGGUUCUUGUUUCCUCCAUAAUUGAUAUUGGAUGUGAGGUCAUAUGUUCAUAUUUCCUCUUCAAUCAUUCAUCCUUUAAGUGGCCACAUAAUAUGUCAGUAGAUGGAUAAAAUUAGUAGUCAUUAGCACACCUUUGAAUAUGCCCAAUAAUAAAAUAUAUUGUCUCUCGCUAUUGAAAUGAGCAAUAUACUAAAAAUAAUUUCACUAAUAUCAAUUGUGUUAAACAUGGGAUGCGUAAAAAAAAGAAAAAGGAUACAACAACAUAUGUACUUAAUGCUUAUCCUUUGUUGGAUUGUUAAAUCACAUGCGCGGGUACACAUAUAUAAGGGAUAAGUACACUAGAAGUGCCAAAAGUUGUUUACGACACUCACUUUAGUGCCAAAAGUUUUCGCCGGCUCACUUAAGUGCUAAAUCGAAAGAAAAACGAUCACUUUAGUGUCAACGGCGAGAAAUUCUGGCUAAACUGAUUACGUGUCAUUUAUAAUUAAAAUUAUAAUAUGACUUAACAAAAUUUUUAAAAAAUCCAGUCCACGUGGCAUGCUUGGCAAUGAAGUGAUUGUCUUUUAACAACUGGCAUUGAAGUGAUCAGUUUAAAUAAAAUUUGGCAUUCAAAUGAUCACUAUUUAUAACUUUUGGACGAUAUCAUUUAGGGGAUAUAUGUUUACUAGGUAUGCUGGUGAGCCACGUAGGAUUGAGAAAUUAAUAAAAUAUAGCCAUGUCGGAUUUCCGGCAAUCUGGACCGGAGUUGACACUUAAAUGAGUUUUUUUUUUUUUUUUAAAGUAGCACUUAAGUGAUCCGGAAAAAACUUUUGGCACUAAAGUGAGCGCCGUAUACAACUUUUGAAACUUCUAGUGUACUUACCCCCAUAUAUAAAGCUUGGGCCAAAUUAAGUCAUGUGAGGUGUUCACGUGUUAGCUUUACUUUUACUUGAUAAGCUGCCCAUGAGUAUCACUUUAACAAAUUUCUAAUCCAUCCUUGCAAAUAUCUGAUUUUGCAUCUCUAAGUCUAUGCUUGUUUUGAUGGUAAUUACUAAGAAGUGUACUAGAAAUAAUAUUAUUGUGUAUAUUUUGGUAAUAAAUCUCUAAUAGAUAUAAGAAAUAAUAGAACAAUGCAUAUUUUGGAAAAAUGUGUAAGAAUAAUUUUUAUGUAUAUAUAACCCUAUUUUGAAAUGCCUAUAUAUUUUAUGUGUAAAACCGAUUGUUAUGAUGAUGUUUUGAAAGAAUUUAAUGAUGUAAGAAUACCUCGUUUCAUAUUUGACUCAUUUUUGACAAAUAAUAUCAAAAGAUCUCAUGUUGGGCUCAUAUUGACAAGUAAAUUAUAUCAAAGUCAUAUUUGGCCCAAAAUAGUAUCGAUAAAUCUUUGAUGUACAAAAAUAAUAGAACUAUCUGGCCUUUCUCUUAUAACAAUGGAACUUGAUCCUAUAGGUGGUAUUUUUUCUUUCCCUUUUUCCUUCUGCAGAGCUUUGAGGCGACUUCGUAUGUCUGCCAUAUCUGGUUCAAUAAAUGUUUAAAUAUAAUUUUUACAUAUAAAUAGACUAUUUUGAAAUAUUCACGUAUAAUUAAAUGAAUUUUCCAUGAUCUUCAGUAGAUAUAUCCCUUCUACUUCAUAAUUGAUGUGAAAAAAAUCCGAUCCUGGGUAUAAUUCUAAUUACUCUAUAAUUCAUAAGAAUAAAGUCCUAUAUCUACAUUAAUUCCAAUAACUAGUGUUAUUUAUGUAUUGAUUUUUUCGAUUCUCUCAUAAAUCUCAAGAGAGCCUACAAAGAAAUAUUAAAUAUUUAAAAAUUUCUACCCUGUGGUUGGGCAUAUGUGGGCAAUAAAUGUUUACAAUAGUUACUUAAUUAGACAUAGUAUCUAUUUUAAAAUAUUUGUUGUUGAUGGAAUAAAUUCUUCCAUCUAGAUACCAAAAGAACAUUCAAGAAGAAAAAUUAAACGUUCAAAUUUCUAUAUUCGAUGAUAGAAAUUAUAUUCAAUGAUUGUGCAGAUUUUUGGAAUAAGUAUUUAAAAUAAUUGUCAAACCUACAUAUAUACAUUUUGAAUUUCAAUGGAAGAGCAUCUACAAUGGAUGUAGACAAGUAGAUGGAAUGGGUUUGUGGUGUGGAUGCAAACGUGGAAAGGUAAUGGAAGAAGUAAACUACAAUUGUCANNNNNNNNNNNNNNNNNNNNNNNNNNNNNNNNNNNNNNNNNNNNNNNNNNNNNNNNNNNNNNNNNNNNNNNNNNNNNNNNNNNNNNNNNNNNNNNNNNNNNNNNNNNNNNNNNNNNNNNNNNNNNNNNNNNNNNNNNNNNNNNNNNNNNNNNNNNNNNNNNNNNNNNNNNNNNNNNNNNNNNNNNNNNNNNNNNNNNNNNNNNNNNNNNNNNNNNNNNNNNNNNNNNNNNNNNNNNNNNNNNNNNNNNNNNNNNNNNNNNNNNNNNNNNNNNNNNNNNNNNNNNNNNNNNNNNNNNNNNNNNNNNNNNNNNNNNNNNNNNNNNNNNNNNNNNNNNNNNNNNNNNNNNNNNNNNNNNNNNNNNNNNNNNNNNNNNNNNNNNNNNNNNNNNNNNNNNNNNNNNNNNNNNNNNNNNNNNNNNNNNNNNNNNNNNNNNNNNNNNNNNNNNNNNNNNNNNNNNNNNNNNNNNNNNNNNNNNNNNNNNNNNNNNNNNNNNNNNNNNNNNNNNNNNNNNNNNNNNNNNNNNNNNNNNNNNNNNNNNNNNNNNNNNNNNNNNNNNNNNNNNNNNNNNNNNNNNNNNNNNNNNNNNNNNNNNNNNNNNNNNNNNNNNNNNNNNNNNNNNNNNNNNNNNNNNNNNNNNNNNNNNNNNNNNNNNNNNNNNNNNNNNNNNNNNNNNNNNNNNNNNNNNNNNNNNNNNNNNNNNNNNNNNNNNNNNNNNNNNNNNNNNNNNNNNNNNNNNNNNNNNNNNNNNNNNNNNNNNNNNNNNNNNNNNNNNNNNNNNNNNNNNNNNNNNNNNNNNNNNNNNNNNNNNNNNNNNNNNNNNNNNNNNNNNNNNNNNNNNNNNNNNNNNNNNNNNNNNNNNNNNNNNNNNNNNNNNNNNNNNNNNNNNNNNNNNNNNNNNNNNNNNNNNNNNNNNNNNNNNNNNNNNNNNNNNNNNNNNNNNNNNNNNNNNNNNNNNNNNNNNNNNNNNNNNNNNNNNNNNNNNNNNNNNNNNNNNNNNNNNNNNNNNNNNNNNNNNNNNNNNNNNNNNNNNNNNNNNNNNNNNNNNNNNNNNNNNNNNNNNNNNNNNNNNNNNNNNNNNNNNNNNNNNNNNNNNNNNNNNNNNNNNNNNNNNNNNNNNNNNNNNNNNNNNNNNNNNNNNNNNNNNNNNNNNNNNNNNNNNNNNNNNNNNNNNNNNNNNNNNNNNNNNNNNNNNNNNNNNNNNNNNNNNNNNNNNNNNNNNNNNNNNNNNNNNNNNNNNNNNNNNNNNNNNNNNNNNNNNNNNNNNNNNNNNNNNNNNNNNNNNNNNNNNNNNNNNNNNNNUGAUGAUGAUAUGCUGAUAUGACAAGAUCAUGAGAGCAAAAUCUGAUUCAAAUCAGUAUUUUUUUCCUUGUCGACAUGACCAUUGUAGUUUACUUCUCCCAUUAUUUUUGUUCGCAAUAUUUUUACUAUUUUGCUGUUAAGUGUUGGUCUCUGUUCUAGAUGAAUGCUAAAAAUAUAUUCAUAAGUGGUCAUUGUAUUGAGAAAGUUUACCAGAUGCCUCCUCUUAUAAAUACUCGUCCUUCCAACAAAGUGCGUCCUCUAUGUAGAGCAUCUUAUGUUUUUAAAUGGGUCCUUGUGCGUGGCAUUCCAAUUUAGGCUUUACCAUGGAUUCUCUUGACUUCAAAUCCAGUCCUUAUGACCAUGCUUUUUUUGUUUGGUGCACAUUUCAUGGGUAUGUUAUGCUGCUUUUAUAUGUAGAUGACAUUGGUUGUUUCUAGCAAUGAUCAUAUUGGCAUAUCCAAACUCAAGGAAUAUCUCAUAGUGAAAUAAACGACAUUGACACGACCCAAACUGAUUUUCAUGUUGUAUGGCAUUUAUUUUUUUAUAUAUUUUUUAUUAGGAUGUGGGAGUAAGAGACAAAUUCUUGCAUAUGUAGAUUCGAUUCAUCUGAGUUGAGCAAAAAUGAAUCUCAAUCAAUGUCUGGUAGCUGUAAUCAUAAAGGUUUUUGUUUCCUCCUUCAGAAUUGAUAUUGGACGUGAGGUCAUAUGUUCAUAUUUCCCCUUUAAUCAUUCAUCCUUUAAGUGGCCAAAAAAUAUGUUAGUAGAUGGAUGAAAUUAGUAGUUAUUAGCAGGCCUUUGAAUAUGCCCAAUAGUAAAAUAUAUUGUCUCUUGCUAUUGAAAUGAGCAAUAUACUAAAAAUAAUUUCACUAAUAUCAAUUGUGUUAAACGUGGGAUGCGUAAAAAAGAAAAGAAAAAAGAGAACAUAUGUACUUAAUGUUUAUCCUCUAUUGGAUUGUUGAAUCACAUGUGCGUGUGCACAUAUAUAAAGCUUGGGUGAGAUUAAGUCAUGCGAGGUGUUCACUUGUUAGCUUUACUUGAUAAGCUGCCCUUGAUUAUCACUUUAACAAAUUUCUAAUCCAUCCUUGCAAAUAUCUGAUUUUGCAUCUCGAAUUCUAUGCUUGUUUUGAUGUUAAUUACUAAGAAGUGUACUAGAAAUAAUAUUAUUGUGUAUAUUUUGGUAAUAAAUCUCUAAUAGAUAUAAGAAAUAAUAGGCCAAUGCAUAUUUUGGAAAAAUGUGUAAGAGUAAUUUAUAUUAUGUAUAGACCCUACUUUGAAAUGCCUAUAUAUUUUAUGUGUAAAACCAAUUGUUAUGAUGAUGUUUUGAAAGAGUUUAAUGAUGUAAGAAUACCUUAUUUCGUGUAGAGUCACAUUGGAGAAAAACACGAUCAUUUAAGUGCAUCCGGCAAUAAAAGAAUAUUACGUGAUUCUUUUAAUUACUACGUGGUUUUUUCUUAUAAAAAGGACCACAUAUGCUAAGAAUAAAAAACAAUGUUGCACAGUAAAGGAACUCUCUCUCUCUCUCUCUCUCUCUCUCUCUCUCUCUGUUUUGACUUGCUCGGUCCGCAAGCAAGCGCUAAUCCGAGAACUCAUUGGCAGCAAAGACUACGAAGCUGAGAAGUAUAACCCAACGAUCAAAUCGAGGAUGAAUAAGACUCUUUGAAGAAAAAAUUGUAUAUUGUAAUUGCCCUAAAAUUAAUUAAUGAUUGUGAUGGUUUAGCUAAAGUAAUUUAUUUCUGAAAAAGUAUAAAAAAAAGUUCUAAACUUAUCGCAAUCAUAAAUUAUUUAAUUAGACUAAUUAGUUUUGAACCUUUUUACAUUAAUACCAAUUGAGUCCAUCCGACUGGAAAUUGAUGAUGUGAAUGUUAGUCGCCCUAUGUGGUACAACUGGUACUAACCUAGACUUUUUUAAAAUAAUUUUCGAACUUUUAUUUAUUUAUUUGUUUUUCCUUUUCUUUUAUGUUCUUUACUCUCUCUAUUUUUGGCUGAGGGCCGGCAAGGCGGCUGGCCGACCCUUUCCGGCAUGGGCGGAGUCCUUGGACUGGAUCUCGUGCUUGGUGUCCUGAAGGUUGAGGAUCUCCUAGAGGUCAGCGGCGACCUUUGAUGGGCUGAUCUGGAGGGAAGUGAAGAGAGAGAAUCUCCUUCGUCGAAGAUGGAGGUGGCUUGUGAAGGACGACAUGGGAUUGAGUGGUUGAGACUGCAAUUGAGAGGAGACGAAGGAAGGGAGAGAACGGCGGAUGGAGGAGAGCCAGAAAGCGCGAUUGGGGGAGACAUUGAAGAGCUUGGAGGCUGGGGUGGACAUAUGGAGGAGGAGCGAUUGGGCUCGCGGGAGGGGCGGGAUGAGAGACUGGAGGAGGUGGUAGGGGCGGCGACGGACGAGGAAAGGUUGGGAUGGUGGUGCAGCUGCUAUUAGGAGGGGGGUGGCGAUGGCGGCGAUAUUGAAUUUGGAAGGUUUGGGAUUGGGAGAAGAGGCGAGAUGGGGCUGGUGGGGCUCGUAAGGCCGAGCCUGGCCGGGAAAUGCGAGAUUUGGUGUUGAAGCAUUGCUGCUAUUUAGGGUCCUAGUGAUCGAAGAUAUGAAGCUGAAGAAUCGCAGAGACUUUUGCCCAAAAUUAUUAAAAUAACAAAGAACAUAAAAAAAAAAAAACAAAAGAAAAAUUAUAAUAUCAUUAAAAAUGUCUAGGUAAGCACCAGUUAUGUUACGUAUAAUAACUGGCAUUCACAUCAACGAUUUUCAACUUAAAUUGAUUAGAUGGAUUCAAUUGAUACAAAUGACGAAAUUUUGUACAAUUAAAAUAUUUAGAGCUGAAUUGAUACAGAUGCAAUAGAUUUAAUAAUUUUUUUGAUAUUUUUCUCAAUUUACUUCAAGAGUUCCUAAUUCUCGGCACUCGGCCAAAGCUCAGUUAAAAGGACCUUAGAACUUAACCGUAGUAGUUUCACCGUACAUUCGUCCCCUCUUCAUAAUAAAAGAACAAAGAUCCUUCUUCAUCAACGUGUCCAAGUUAUUUAGCAGAAGGUAAGAAAAUAGCAAAGAAAAAGGGAAAAAAGAAGAAGGAAAAAACAGAGAUGGCAAGGCUUUCUGGCUGGAUCCACCAGAAGAUGAUGAGGCAUUGCGAUGGGAUGACUGAAAAAGGUGCAAGGAGCCAAAUGACAAAAAUUGAGGUACUGCUGGCCAUCAUUGCUGCGAUCUUAGUCAUUCUUGGGGUCUUUAGGUCAUUUAGGCGAUGCUGCGGCAACCGCGCAUUCGCGGUGGUCGCAUUCGCAGCCUAUACCCUUAUGCCUAUUGUCAUUGCGUAAACGCUUGGCCUUAUCCAAACCGCUCCUACCUGCUAUAUAGAAUUUCCUAUCUGGGUGACUUAUCUGGUGGUGGCUCUCGGAAACAUGGAUUCCUACACUGCGCACCGUAUGGAGGACAUUGAACGAUGGAAGUCAUUUAAAGUUGACUCCGCUAUAAAAUUUAUCUUGACAAGUGGGAUGAUCAUUUUCUAUACGGUCAUGUGGAGCCCAAUAGUGUGCAUUCUUUUCGUGAUUCUAUUCAUGAAAGUCGACGAAAGAGUACCAGCUUUGAUGUUGGCAAGCAAUAAUGUGAUGCAGAAGAACUACAGUUUCAUAGCAGACUACAUGAGCAGUGAGCACCAACGGAGCAAUUCAAGUGACGAAGAUCCUGCUACAAUGAGAGGGUACAGGUACUUGGUGAAAGUGGCAGACGAGGUAAGGGUGCACCAUUCAACAGCAGCAAAAUGGAGGCGAAAGGCAGCUCUGUGGCAUGAUGGGGAUGCGCCGCACUAUCGACAAUCAUUGGAGGUGAUGGAUGAAGUUAUCACCGUUGAGAAGGUUUGGAAUUGCAAAGGUAGGCUAUUAAGUGCAAGCGGAGGAGACUGGGAUGGCCGACUGAAGGACCUUUGCCUAUCUUUUUCGCUCUUCAAGUUCAUCUGCCUGAGAUUCACUGGCUAUUUGUUGCCCUAAGAAGCGCACAAUAAGUUAAGGAGCUUGAUUCAACAUAUACUUUCUGAAGAGAAUGGUUAUGAGCGAGUUUUCCGAGUCAUCGAAGUAGAACUUGCAUUUCUUUUCGAUUUAUUCUACACCAAAUACCCAAUGAAGCUCCAUCAGCGUCGUUCAGUGUAUAGAUUGCUCCUGCUUCCCAUUAGGGUUGCCAUCCCUGUGCUUUUACUCUACUUCGUGAUUUUCUACAAGUUGGUGCUAGUGGCUAUUGUAACCACCUUGUUAAUGAUGUCGAUCCUCGUUGUCGAGCUUACACAGUUUAGCAUCAUGAUUUCUCGGAAUGGGCAAAAGUGACAUACAUAUGUAAUUAUGUGCGCAACGAGCGGUGGCAAAGGAACAGAUGUGCUGGGAAGUUGAUCGAGAUUUUGUGCCGAGUUCAGUUAGUGAAGCCUUGGGGAAGAAAAUUGUGUCAAUACUCGCUCCUCAAAUCGUAUAGCUAUUCUUCACCGAAGUGGAUAUAUUAUAGACUCAUUGUUGCUUAUCUCUCCCACCAAUUUGUCUAAGCAAGUGAAGAAGGCCAUCGCUUAGUCUCUAAGGAAAGAUUUUACCGGCUAUUUGGAGAAGGGGCAAGCGUCUUUGAGGCACAACGUAUUGUUUGAUGAGCUCUCAUGGGCAUGUGAUCUUGAGACAACUACUCAUGUUAUAAUGGUUUGGCACGUAGCAACCACUUUUAGCGAGCAUGAAGUGCCUUGCGCUAAACUUUCACAAGAACAGAGGGACAACUUUGACAUAGCGACGAAGCUAUCACAAUAUCUUGCUUACUUGGUUGUUUUCGCCCCGAGGUUGCUCCCUGUUGGAAUUCAAGUCGGCGGAAGAUGACUUACCUUUAUCCGAUGCACAAACAACAAUUAACCCUAGAAUGAAUGUUGAAUUGUGGAUGAAUCACGAAUAAAAGAUACUUCACGUUGGUCUGAAUGCAAUCACGAGGAAAGCACCCGAUUUCCACGGCGUAAAUGUAAACUGUUCUCGUAAAGAAGAAAUGGAACGCCUUCACUUUCUUUUGAUGGAAAUGGAAGAGAAAAGGAGCGUACGUUCUGCCAACUACCAUCAACGGUUGUCUUUGGGAGGCUCUUAUACAUCUUCCUUCAUACCCUUUCAAUAGUGUCUUUCUAUUGUAGCGUAUCAAGGUGAAACGGUGCAUUCCAAUCGCACCCCAUCAUGGACGUAAUAAUAAUAAAAUACUACACUCCCUAGUCACCCUUGUAGGACCGAAUACAUAUUUGGUCGUGCUGUUAGCAAAGCCAAAGAAAAAUAGGGAGGUUCCUCGGUUUCAAUGGAAGAGAGGAUUCAAAAGCUAAAGAUGGGCAUUGACAACGAACAAUGCCAUGAAAUGAUUGUUGCUUAAGGUGUGCGGCUAGGAAUGUAGCUUGUGAAUGCAGUAGUAGGUGAGAGGCGAAUUUGGAAGGUCUUGGCUAACUUCUGGGUUGAUAUGAUGUUGUAUGUGGCUCCUUCGAAUGAUAUGGCCGCUCACGCUAAGUAUCUCACCAUUGGGGGCGAGUCUGUGACUCACAUUUGGGUUUUGGUCUCUCACAUGGGCAGCAUGAGAGAUCCACAUGUGGUGAGUAACAUGAUGAUCUAGAGAGGAGCUGAACUUGACCUCAGUUUAUUAUAUUAUGCCUAAUCAAUUAUAUAAAAUGUCUAUAUGGUUGUGUAUGUUUGUGUAUGUUUGCAGCAGUUCGUUUAUCUUGCAUCGAUCCCUGGUCAUACUCUAGAAAAAUUUCUCAUGUAUGACGCAUGACCUCUUCUUUUAUGUGAUGUAAUGCGUUGCUUUAUCAAGGGUGAAGACUUGAAUUGGUUGUGCAUUUCUAAGAUUGUAUUAUGUCGAACAUGGGCAAUACGUAAUGUUUUUUUUUUUUUUUUUGUUCACACUUUCACAUGUUAAUAUAUGAUGUUAGGAGCAUAUGGUAGAAAUCCCAUACAUUCACUUGAGUAGAUUGUUUUGGGAGAGCCUAAGUUUAAGUUCCUCAACAUAUUCAAUUAGAUCCACAUUCGCUCAUGCAUGUAUUUCAAGAAUCUCGCUAUCACAUAUAAUUUUAAUGUUAGGUUUGCUCUCCCUUAAUUCCGUGUUAACAUGUCUCCACAUGAAUCUUCAAUUUUGUUGUCUUGUAAGGAUUGCAAAUACAGCCACUACAACCUUCAUCCUCUCUCCCUCUCGAGAUUGAACCAUGAAGAUUGCCAUUGGGAUUGAAUUGCUACAUCAAACGCCCACAUUCACCAAAAAAUCAUAAACCUAUCGCACUUUUGACAAUUCAGUUCUAAACCUCUCAAUUUUAUCAAUUGAGUCCUAAACCUUUUUACUUUUUACCAAUUGAGUCUAUGUUAUCAAUUUUCUUGCUAAUGUGGAUGCUAACACUAACGUGGAUAAAUUUUAUUAAUUUUCAAAUUAUUUUUUUGUUUUUCAAUUAUUUUAUCUCUCUCUCUCUCUCUCUCUCUCUCUCUCUCUCUCUCUCUCUCUCUUAUAAUUUAUUUCCCCUUUUUUCCUCUUGUAAUGACCCGACUCGAAGUUGUGUGGGUUAUCGUCGUGACGUCCCAAGCACAUAGCUGUCUUGUUUCUUUCUUCUUUUUAUUAUGAGCAUCCUUUUUUCCUCUUGUAAUGACCCGACUCGAAGUUGUGUGGGUUAUCGUCGUGACGUCCCAAGCACAUAGCUGUCUUGUUUCUUUCUUCUUUUUAUUAUGAGCAUGCGAAAGCGUGUACAAGAUCAAUCUCUCGAACAACAAACAAGCAGCUAGGAAAACACAACAUAGACCACUACUUUUAUAUCAUAUCAGUACAUUUACAAGCCCUUUUUUCUACGGGGCACUUUUCUUUUUACAUCGUCCUUAUAUAUUCAUAUAGGCUAAGGAAAUUCAUAUCUCCUCUAGUGUGACUUCAGCUCUCAAAACUGGUAUGAUACUUUCAUGCCUAUAAGUCUGAAAGAUAAAGGGGUGAGUCAAGGACUCAAUAAGUAAAAUCAGUAAUCCUCAUCUAGGAGGAUGACUUGUCAUUGAAUCAAGCAUGCAGACAUUUCAUGCACAACAACAUUGAUGGCAGAUCCAUAGCAAACCGUUACUUUACUUCGACUAUAUGCAUAUGUUCAUACCGGCUUACCUUCAAUGCAUUACCCACUUUUAACUUACCAAAUAAUCUACCCUCAACUUAUCUAAUAAGUUAUCUUCAACUUACCAAACAAGCUAUCCUUAAUUCACCAAGAAAGUUACCUUUGACUUACCGAACAAUCUAUCCUUAACUUACCAAACAAGCUUUUUUACUAAGCAAGCUUAUCAAACAACACAUGAUAAUAUGUAAACAAGGUUCAUUAAUCGUCUCAACGGUUCUUCCCAUACUUUAAGGGACUUCCAAUUUCAAGUUGAGCAUCUGGCACAAGCUAGGCAUUCCAUACUUUCAAGGGCUUCCUUGUAUCAACCAAGGCAUUUAGCCUUAAGCCAAGCAUCAUAAGCAUGUUAGUCAUUUCAACUUACCAUCAAUGCAUGCUUUACAUCAAAUUUGUUAACCAAACUCAUUAAAUAACACAUAAGUAUGCACAAAGGAGUUCAUUCAUCAAUCCAACCAUUCCCACGAUUCAUUCGAAGUCCACCAGGCAUUCGAGAUCUGUCGGCCAUCUGGAAUCCAUCAUAGGGGUGAGCAUAUCGGACUGCCCAAAUUAGGAACCGCCUGGAUCGGACCAGACUGGACUAGUUAGUUUGGUCUAGUUCCCAGAGGGAUCGAUCCAGUUUCCCAUUUCAUAAAAAUGGAACUAGUGAUUGUCGGUUUGGUUCCCAGUUCUGUGGGGGGGGGGGGGGGGGAGAACUAGACUGGACCGGACCGAUGACCCGGAAAAACCUUAUUUAUUUAUUUAUUUAUAAAAAAUGUAUUUUUCAAUUCCUUAAAAAUAUCAAUAAACCCUAAAAAUGGGAACAACUUUAAUAUAUAUAUUAAAUUUUUAAAUUUUUUUGGCUAAAAAAUUGGUUAGGUGGAACAAGACCGGGAACUGAUCACCUCUAAUUCAUUGGGCAUUCGAAAUCCGGUGGACAUUUGGAAUCCACCAGGCAUUCUAUUAUCAUGAACGAGGCAUUGUCGCCAACGCCAUGUGACAACGAAUCUUAUCUUACAUAUAGUAAUCACAUGUUAUACAACAUACAAAUUAAUUUAUCAUUUUUCCUUUUAGCCCACGCAUACAAGGCUUGAGGGCAUGUUCAUACAAGCAUGUGCAUGUCAUGUUUUAUAAUUCCAUAACUACAUAAUAUGCUAGAUAAGACACAAGAUUCGUGGCUCGAACCGACCUGUUUACGCACUAACCCUCCGUCAAGUGAGACUCAAAUCAACAUGCCUCAAUAUUGAUUCGAGGCCCAGCGAAGUUCAGUUUGUCAUGUCUCAAUGCCGACCCAAAGCCAAGCGAGACCCAUCUGUGGCUCAGGGCGUGCUUUCACUCGCGGAUCCACAAUCAUGAGCAAACGAUUGAAAAUAUUGCAAGAACUAGUUAUAGAAUAACCGAAACACACAAGCACAAUUAAGAGUACAACUACCUCAAACAACAUAUCAUAAUGUCCUAGUUAAGGGUUAGGAGAUCCGCUUAUCCAUACAAAGACGUGACUAGCAUGUUCACAGUCAAAUUGAACAACUUAGCACAUUGCUCUAGCCAAAGAUUAGAGAUUCCACUUACUUAAUGCGCUAAAAACGAUUUCGCCAAGAGAUGGCCGUCCGAUGGAGAUGGUGGGCGUGCAAGAGGGAGUAGAAGGGAGAAAAUGAACCGAGGGUUAAAAUGAAUGGGGUGGUUCUUCUAUUUAUAGGUCAAGCUUCAUUAAUGGUCUUAACUUAUUUUUCAAGUAAGAUUCUAUGGUCAUAAUUACCAGAUCUCCUCCUUGCCAUCUACAUUAGUGAGUCAUAUCUUCAUUUAAUGACUAGCCUCCAAGGAACAUGUGCUACUUGUUCUUCAAGCCACUCCUAAUGGUCCACCUAAGUUCGUGAAUUCACCAUUUCAUCAUUACUUGGCUAACUUGCUCUACAAGCAAGACCUUAGGUGUAAUGAUGAUCAAAUCUUUAGAGGACAUCUAAGCUUACGACUCACCAUUUUCAUUAAUGGCUUAGAUUUGGACAAUCAUGAGGUAUGGAUAUUUACCAUAUGCUUAAAUUCAAGAACUUGCUCUCAAAGUUUUGGCCUUUUAGAAUAUUUUACGAAGUUCUCUUUCAAUUGCUCUACUUAAGCAUAAACCAAUAACUUCUCCUCGAAGACAAAUCUUUUAACCAUCAUUAUAUAAUCCUAAGAUGGACACUUAAGACGAUGACAAGGCCUCUUGCAUUUAAUGCUUGGAUUUGUGUAAUCAAUGGAUCUAAAUAUUCCUCACUGGGGGUGAGCAUUAAUCAAGGGUUGACCCUAGAUCGACCCAACCCUACCGGUCUUGAUCCGAUUCCAAGAAGACUGGGUCAAUCAUUGGUCUUGAAAUCCCUAGACUAGUAUCGUGUGGGUUGGUCCUCGAUCAUAGGAGUUUAGGAUUGGUCCAACUUGGACCAACCUUGACCACCCUUGACUAUAUAAUAUAUAUUUAUAUUUAUAAUAUAUAAAAUAUAUUUUAGAUGUAUUAUUAUAUUAUAUAUCUAAUAUAUUAUAUAUAAUAUUCUUCUAUCUAUUCUAAAGAGCAAACUCUAACUUAAGCAACGUUAUCCUAAUUUAAAUGGUGUUAAACUGCAUUAAAUGGCAUCAAACGACGUCCUCCUCCUUCAGUAACCUAGUUCUCCUUUCUUUUUUAUCCUCUUCUAUCUUCUUUAUCCUUUUCAAUUUUUACGUGAGAGAAACAACUUUUAGCUAGUGAGCAACCUCGCCUUGCUCGAUGUGUGAUGCCUUCACCUCGCUCGCGCUUAACACUCAAUGCCUGCACUACUCGUUGUUGGCUGCUCGACACUCGCCCAACUCACCAUUCAACGCCCAUGCCGCUCGCCGCUCGUUGCUCAACGCUUGCACCACUUGCCUCUCUUGGCUAGCCUCACCCAUUGCCAAAUACAUUAGAAGGAAACAAAGCUCUAAUUAGAAACCCUCUUUGCUUAUGAGCAACACUUGCAAUGCUUGCCAUUCGCCACUCACUUCAUGGCUUGCCUUUGUUCGCUUGCCUCAUGGCUCGCCCUUGUCAUGGAGUUCGUCCUUGUUGAUAGAUAUGUAAUUUGAAAUAAUAUGUUUGCCUUUUCAUGGAAUACAAAAAAUGAAAUAAAAAAAUUAUCGAUUUGUGUUAAUUUAUGACUCGAGUUUGAGAUUCAUUGGACUUUUGACGGAUUUACAAAAGAGGAAAUAAUUAAAAAAGGAAUUUUUUUCUUCUUUGGAGUGAAGCUGUGGAAGCCCCAUGCUUUGCCGAAAUCUUUUGGCAUGAAGCCUCUGUACGUGAAUUGAAAAGAGGUGGGCCCAGAGUCAAAGUGUUGACUCUGGGCACACACACACACGUUCAGCGAAGCAAGGAGCGUAGGUGGGCCCAAGGUUGGGCGCACGAUUUCCUUCUUUGGCGAGUCCCUUGCACACGUCCUGCACACCCACGUAUAAAAGCAGAUCUUUGUAGGUCUUCUUUAGGGCUUCUGAAAAUUGCCGCCGAACCUUACGUACGUAGCCGCACGUUCACCAAUCAACGAAGCCGCAAGUCCUCCGCGAGAAGCUUGAAGAGAUAAGCGUUUUCGUUUGUACGUAAACCAGGUGUACGUAGAGCGUUGUAUUUUGGAGCUUUAACACGCGGUAACUUUGUGCCGUGAGUUGGGUUUGGGUUCAAUUGGGGUUUGGAAAACACUGAGAGAGUGUUUGAGUGAUUUGAGUGUGUAAUCUCCUUGUAUCGCUUGAUCUAUAGUGAAAUUCGCUGCUGCUCUCCCUGUGGACGUAGGUCUUUACAACUGAACCACGUAAAUCUGGUGUCCGAUAUAUUUUCUUCUUCCGUCUAUAUUAUUGUUCGAUCACUCGCCUUUUGGCAACAAUUUGUCAUAGGUUGACUUUGGAACUGGAUUGAACCCAUAAGGUCAGUUCGAUCAUUGGUCCCAAAAAUGAGAGACCAACACUAUACAAGUUAAUUCCUGGGUUAAGUGUUGGAUCAGCUCGACCUAGACCAUGAUCACCCCUAUUCCUCACAUAGCCUAUUUCAAAACUCAUUCACCAAGUUUAGUUCUUUUAGAAUCUUCAAUUUCAUUUUUUUUUCAAGGAACAUAACAAACAUAAGAAAAUAAGGCCAUUAGAAGCACUAAUAGGGUUGAGCAAGGGCUCUUUAUGUUCAUCCCUAAUCGACCAUUCUAAUUGAAUCAAGGUUUGGGGCCAAAUCACCAUCGAGCGAGGUGAAUUCAUGAUUGACUCUCCUUACAUGGCUAGGUCGUUGGCUCAUCCCAUGGGCUUAGUAGUUGGCCCCAUGAUUGGCACUAGCCAAGUAGAUCGGAACAUGACCGCUCAGAAUUGAUUCAUGAUCACCCAAUGAUCCGUGAUGAUAUGUGACCAUCCUUUAAUCAGCCCUUAUGGUUGGGCAAUUGUCUAUUGGCUAAAUGGCUUAAGUUCACUUGUGUAGUCAUUGGAUUAGUACGCGGCCGAUCCCUUGAUCAAUCCAUAGCUGGUUCCUUGAUCUAAACAUGGUUAAUCCCUUGGUUACCAUUUCGAUUAGGCUGAUCCAUCCAUAGUUGAUCCUUGGAAUGAUUUAUGGCAGAUCCUUACCACUAGUAUAUCAAGCUCAUAGCCAUUUAUCAUGGGGUCGAAAAUUGCGGAUCUUACACCUUUGGUUGGUCACCUAGCCUCUAGCGAUUGGCCAGAGGCCAUGACUGGCGACGUCAGCCUUGCGGGCUUUAGGCAAGGUCGCUAGAUCCUGGCGAGGGGUGACCUUGCCUAAGGCCCAUGAGGCCAACUCUCAUUGGCCUUUGGUGAGGGCAAGCUUGCCCGAGGAGGAUGAGGUUGCCCCUUGCCUAAGGGCCAUGAGACCGACCCUUGCUAGUCAUGGUCUCUGGUCGGUCAUUGAAGGUUGGGCGACUGGCUAUAGGAAGAAAAGUAAAAAAGAAAAAAAAAUUAAUAGAUAAAAAAUAAUGAAAAAAUUCGAAAAAAUUUAAAAAUAAUAAAUUUUGAUCACAUUAACACCAGCUGUGUCACGUAGGACAGUCAACGUCCACAUCAGCGAAUUUCGGCCAAAAUUGGCUAGAUGAACUCAAUUGGUAAAAUGUUAAAAGAUUUUAGACUCAAUUGGCAAAAUUGAAAAGUUUAUGACUGUAUUGACAAAAAAUGCAAUAGGUUUAGGAUUUUUUGGACAAAUUUUCCUAUUAGGAGCACAUAGCGAAAAUCCCAUGCCUUUGCUUGGAAAGUUGCCAAGAAAGAGCUCAAAUUCAAGCAUUUAACCAAUUUAGUUAGACUCAUCUUCAAUAAAAAAUUUAAGCCAAUGACUACUUAGCCAACUACGGUAUAUUAACUAUCUAACAUCAUAUCAAUUCUCUAAUAUAGGACUUUUCUAACACAAUUCAUGUGCAUCUCAACAUUCAUUUCCCAAAACCACUAGCAAAGUAGACAACCGUAAUGGGUGUGUAACGAAGCAUAUUGGAGUGCUUUGAAUGAGGCUAGUAGUAGGUGAUGGCAGGGUUGAUAUAGUAAGCCACGAACGCUUUGUGCCUGAAAGCUCCAUUUUCUUUGUGACAUGGCCUCAUUGCGCCGAAAACGCUAAGAAAUAUGUACAAGGAAGGCUAUGAAGGUCGAUAGAGCCUUAAUCCGUGGUGCAUUCCGAGUGAAAUUGCAUAAAUCACGCAUAUUCUCACGCUUGUCCUCUACUUCUGUUAACGCUUGCACAAAAAUUCGGACUGGCCAUUUCCAGUUCUUUCUUAUAAUCUUUUGUCCAGUUCCUUUUUUUUCCUAACAAUCCAGCAUUUUUUUUUUUAUUUUUUUUUGGUUUUGUGAAAAGCAUUAUGUUUCAGUGAAGAUUGUAACUAUUUUAUUUCGAAUGUAUUUCGAAGAGACUUCGUUCCUUCCGUAAAUAGCAAAGCGAAGUGCGCUGCCGCUAAUUACUGGAAGCUGAAGAUAACACGGGCAAAGUCCUCCGUACCUCCAAUUCCAUACCAUCUCGCUACUAGUUCGGUUUGAUUCCACUUUCCUUGGAACCGCAAAUGAUUGCUAAAUAGGCGCAAAUGAUUUCUCUCAUGAUGUAGUGCCUACGCCUAGCACAGGUUCUCCCAACCAUAUGGAUUGUGACUUGGCUUAUUGAUUAACUAAUUUUACAAUUUGAUUUCUACUUUAGCAUCCACCACUAAUCUAUUCUAAGUGGAUUAAGGCCAAGUAAGACACAAGAGCUCAUCUUAUUUUUAUGAACCAGAGAUUUGUGGGUGGGAGACUUAAUUAUGCUAGAUAUAUCUAACGGUCAUUUCCGUACUUUUUCCUUUUAUGAAAAGGAUUAUACAAGUGAUCUUUUCAAUUUUUCUUUUUCAAAUUUUAUCAUCCAAGACAUGCAAAGCAGGUGAUCUUGCAAAAAUCACUUAAACAUGCACAUAAAAAAAUCCAAUAAUAUCCAAGCAAGUAAAGUGCGGAUAGGAAUGAAACCAAGCCGUACUCGGCAAAAUUAAACACGUUCUAGUUAUUAAGUCCCAAGACAAGAUCCCUUGAGUUAUAAAUAAAAGGUCAAUUUUUCCAAAUAAGCUAAUGUUUGAAAAAGGAUAGUGAAUAUUCCAAUAUGAAGUGCUUGUAAUAUUUACAAAAUAAAUUACUUAUCUAAAAUGAACAAUUAAACAUGGAAACAAAUCUAAUUGACGUGGUCUAAAGUGAAGUGCAGUAUUAAGAGAAUGAAUCUAUUUAUGAUUAUGCAAGUAUUCCGGAAUGCACUCCUAGACAUAUUUGGAGACAUUUUUAAUGAAGAUGCAGUCUAAUAUUAUUAGCAUGCAAGGUAUGAUUUUUAUAUUUUCUUUUUUAUGGCAUGCGAUUUGUGAAAAUAAAGUGCUACUAUGGCAAUUAAAUAACAAUGCAAUCUAAUGUCCCAAAUAUGCAUCAAAGCAUCUAUUCAUGAAAAUUUUAAUUUCUCUAACAAGGCAAUCAUCAUGGUGUAAAUGAAAUAUGGGAUCCUAUCUAUACAAAAACAUGCAAAAAUGUCAAUAAGCUUAAAGAUGCGAAGGCAAACACAAUUGAACAUGCCAACAUUGAACUAAACUAACAUGAUGCAAGUUACAAGAUCAAUUGCAAUAUAUUCAUGAGAAGAAAAUGAACCAAAAAUAGAUAUAAAGGGAAUUGGUUCGGAUUAAAUAAUUUUGAGACGAGUCGCUCUGCAUAUUGGGUUCGGUUUAUUUAUGCACUCGGGGGCAAAUAUCCAGACAAAAUCAAAGUAUAACAGCUCACAUAAUUUGAAAAUCAAAGAUUGCAAACCAGCAGUUCAGAUUUUUUUACCUUGAAGCCACGAGAAGUGGCCGAAGUUCUCGAAUCUUCUCGGUUCUUCGAUUCACCUUCUUCUUUUCAAGCGAUGCCUUCUGUUUUCUUUCCUACAAGUCCACACCGCUUUAUAGGUGUAUGUAUAGAGGUCCCACGUGAAGCCGAAUAAAUUCUGGAUAUAUUUGCUCAAUUUUGUGCACUUUUCAGCCAAGACUUUCUCCUAGAAGGAAUUACGGUGGUGUUCUUUGUUUUUUUUUUUUUUUUUGGGGUCAAUCCUACUCUACUCCUAUUUAAAUUCUCACUUUUUGAUUUUUAUCUUACCUUUUUUAUCGGGCGUGAGAGUUGAAACUUACAAUUGAAACUAAUCCAUCCCCACCCUAACCUUCCCCCUUCUCCUCCGUCCUCCUCUCCCCCUCGCUCCCGUGGCCGAAAAGGAGGUGUUCUUUAUUUGCAGGAUUUGUUAGCUUCAAUGUUUUUUCCAGCAUGAUGUAAGCCAACCAAAGAAGUCGUUGCCUAUUUAGAUAAUUAAACCAUAAUAGAUAAAUCAACAAGAAACCACAAAGGAUGUUAGAGACUUAAAUGGAUCGGCGCAAGUGUCAAUACGUAAGUCACGAAAAGAGUCAGAUGCCUUCUAUUAUCUUAUAUUGAUUAGGCAUUUUCGGGAUUUAAUUGCAAGUUUUGAGAGACGUAAUUGCAAAUAAUUCGGAUAAGUUCUGAGCUAUCUUGGAAAUUGAUUCAGUUUUGACAGUUGUCUUUAGAUGAAAUUUUUUGCAAAAAAUCUAUUACGAAUUUUUAGAAACUCAAAACUAAAAGAUUAUGUUGAUUCCCCUCUCUAGCUGUCCAAAAAUUUCGUGUCAUUUCGAAGUCGUUUACCUUUUUUUGGCAAAUUUUCAAAACCUGAACCCGAACGGGUCGGGUCAUAGACCAUUAAUGGUAAUUCACAAUUUUCGAGUCAAACGGAUAGGAAUUGGGGUUAAUGGUAUUCUAGAGAAUUAAUUCAAACACUUUCAGCUUUCUAAAGGGAUAUGAAUUGCAUUAAUCGGAGUUCAUUUGCUUGGUCAAUUGAUUUCAAAACUAAAUGAUCUUAAUUCUGGAAUUAAUGAACAAGUGAUCUUACUUGGGCUCACUCUCAAUGCUUGGUUGUUUGGGAAAUAAGACUAUUUGGUCUGAAUGCAUGCUUAACUUCUUGUGCAUGUGCUUGCUAGAAAUAUGCAUAGGAUCGAUACAUGUAUGUGGGGAAUACCAAAGGGAAAACUAGACCCUCAAUUUGGGGACUAAUGAAAAUUGACCACCGUUUAUGAACACAAAGGAUGGCCAAUAACCAAUAAUCACAACUUAAUCAAUUUUAGUGGCCUUUAGGACUGGAUGAUACAUGUACACAUCCAAAGGCCGAUCUCGAGAUUCAUUUACCAAAUUUGUGACUUGUCUGUGAUUGUUUUGGUAUGAAAUGUGCAUUUGUAUGCGUAUCUUAGUUUCGAUAAAAGGACGACCUCAUCACGACGUCUCGAGGAGGAGGUGGCCGAAAUACCCAUAUGAUGAAGAUGGCAUGACCGAUGUCCUAUCUAGUCCAUUUGGUUGUAUCAUUUAUCCCGUCCAUGUCUCGGGCUUUCAAUUCAAGAUUAUAUUAAAUGCUUGAUGAGUUGCAGGUUUUUCUUUCAUGUGCUUAAAAUAGCUCGUCUUUUACUUCAUUUGGGUGUUUACUAAUUGCAGCACAAUUUCAUUAAUUGUGUGCUCUAUUUUUAUAUCACGUUAGCUAGUUUAAAUUGCUCUAAAGAACCAUAUACUUGUGCUCACCUAAUGAUGCUUUUGCAUAAAAUUGCAUGAAAAUGUAAGAACAAAUGGAUGAUCACUUUACGUAACAACCAAACCAAUUAGUUACCAAAAUGGUGCUAAUAGAAACAAUUAGUGUAACCCAAGUUCUCGAACCUUCAAUCUCUGGUUUUGUGGAAAUCAAGAGAGGACUCUUGAUCCUCGAUUGGGUAAUCUAGCCGACCUUAAAAAACGAGGCUAGUGGUGAUUUCUAGUUCGAUAUUUAGGGUGCUUAGAGAACUUUAAAACAAACUCCUUUCACGUGAGAAAUGGGUUUAGAAGACCUACGUGUAAGAUCGAUAGUCUAUUUUGCAGUGUUUGCAAAUGAUGGUCAAUUCAAGACCAUUCAUUGUACGAACCAUUUAAACUGUCUCUUGGACAAAUACCUCCAAACUUACUCAUCUUCUUGUUCAACCAAGGCGGCGAGUCGCAACAAAGAUCACUCUCUCUAGUGUACUGACAUGACCUUGUUAUCAAUAAAGUUAUCAUUUCCUUAUGUCUUUUUGUUGAUGACAAAAAGGGGGGAGAUACUAAUGUGAAAAUCAUGUUGAUAUACACUGACUUUUCUAUAACACAUCAAAAUAGGGGGAGCAUUACACAAGCAUUACACUAGCUUCAUGCUAAUAUGUUUGCUAUAUCAUCUAUACUCUUAAGAACUUAAGAUUAUCUAUGUUUUUCACUCUUAUUCUACAAAAGAUCAUCUAGACUAAAUAUCCAAGUUAUAUGAAUAUCUUAUGGAGAUCUUAUUAUCUGUUUAUGGUGCACAUUCCUUGAAAAAAGAUUAGCACACAAACAAAUCAUUUACUUUUACUGCAAGUUUUAUCAAGAAUUAUGUUUCACAUCUGUGAGAUAGUUUUGUUAUCAUAAAAAAUGGAGAGGUUGUUGGAGACACAUCUCUAAAUGAUUUUGAUUCAAACUAUUCUUAGUAUAAAAUUUACUAUGGUAAAUGUAGAUGUUUGUGACAAGUAUUAAAGACAAGGCGAUGUCCAUGGUAUGUUCCAAGUGGUAAAGGAUCGCAAUAUGUUUUGAUAUGGUUUUUCAAUAAAUAACACCAACAUACCUAAAGAUCAGCUGAUGUUGAUGUUUUUUUAAGGUUGUGCAUAUUAGUUAAUUGGUAUUGUAGCAACAAAGUUCAUCUUAAAAUGUUUGUUGGUUAAGCAAAUUAGCUGUUGUAGAAGUGGAUAUGCACAAUAGCAGAAUCCAGAUGAUAACAAAAAUCGAGAAGCUAGGCUAUAUAAUAGGUCUAUCAUAAGCUGCAGUGAAUAGCAACAAAAGCUAUAUGAUGUUGAAUCUGAAUGUUCAGGGAAAAGGAUUGUAUGUGCAGUUCUAUUUUUGGAGAGUAGCAUCAACAAGAAAUUCAAUGGCUCUUUGCUUUUCCAAUCCAGCUCCAAUGGAUGGAUUGAAGAUGUGUAUAAAAUAGAAGAUCUCAGUAGCUAAAGAAGAGAGAUGUGCAAAUACAAAAGGCUGAAAAUCUGCUAUAAACGACGUCUUAAGCAAAACACUCUCUUUCAACUAUUUUUCUGAGUGUUAUAUUUUUGUUGUCUUAAUAAUCGUGCUAAAGAUUAAGUGUAUAAGAGUAAGAGUAGUAGCUGAGUCUUCAUAGUAUGAUAUAUCAUGUAAAAGGAUUUGUGCUUGUCGAUUGUAACUUUCUCAGCAGACUAAUUGUGCAAUCCAGCCCAACUUAUGGCUAUUAGUCUAAGGAGUGAACAUAGGCUUAGGGUUAAAGCGUACCACUAUACAUCAUUAUGUGCUUUUGCUUUUCUCUCUUAUUUCUUUCACAAGCACACAAUACACUCACAAGCUUUGAAACAUUAUUUUGACCAGAUUUUUACGUAGAGUAAGCUAUUUUCUUCCAAAGAUUGUCAAAAUUUCUAAAACAACCUAUUCACCCCUCUUAUGUGUGCAAACUUUUUGUAGGCCCGAACCAUUUUUUCUUCACAUGACAGCUUUAGUAGCCCAAAGUGACCUAUUUCCAUUAGGAACCUCAAAAUUUUAUUUGCCAGUGAGCUUUUGUAGCUCAGAGCACCCCAUUGAUCUGGCGAGCUUUCAUCCUAUGGUCUCUUUCUUCACACGAUGAGCUUCAGUAGCCUAGAGUGACCUAUUUCCUUUAGGUGUGAAAAUGCAGCAUUGGAACUUUAUUUGCACAGUGAACUUUUACAGCCCAAAGCGCCCUUUUGACCUGGCAAGCUUUUGUAAUCCAGAGUUUUCUUCUUUACACUAUGAGCUUUUGCAACUUGGAGGACCCCAUGGACCUGGUGAGCUUUUGUAGCCCAUACUCUCCUUUGUUUUUCUUGCAAAUAUCAGGUAAGUAUUCUUACCCACCUUAGUUUUCAACCAAAAAAAAAAAAGGUGUUUAUAGAUAUGCCCCUUAUCAUGCUCCUUACACUUGCGUUUGCAUUGCUUGCUUUUUCUUUCUUUUUAAGGCUCGGUUUUAUUUCCUUUUAACCAAAUGAAGUAAAAGAAAUGGGGGGGCCCGACCCUUGUCUUUCUUGGCUGUAUUCGCUCAUCAAAGCCAGCUAAAGAAGAAGGGAGCGGUGACCGAACAGCAAGGACAUGGGCGAGUUCUCUGUGAGCGAAUCACAAUGAGCAUGGCGCUGAAAGAAGCAAAUCCAAGAGAAGGGUUCUGGAUGGCUUAGCUAGCUCAAAGUUUUUUUUUUCUUUUUUUGAUGACCCAGGAAAUCCGUAAGCCGAUAGCCGGUGGGCAAACCCUGGGGUCUACGGAGGAACCCACCACCCCCAUGAAGCGUGUAAGUCCACCUGCGACAUGCUGGGGAUUCGAAUUUCUCCCCUUCAUGAGGGGGAGAAAGCCCGAAGCCAACAGCACCAUUUAGUACGGUGGUUAGCUAGCUCAGAGUUUGUUACACGACAGCAUGAUAAUCUCAUCCUGUCGAGCAUUGAGUUCAAUCGAUGAACUCGUGGCUUACUCAUGUGAAAACUAAGAUAAAUCUACGAGGAAUAAUGAUGAGUAGAGUCUGAUAUGUCAUGAUUUGGCCAAAAAUUAUGCUGAAUUUGAAUCGAAAGCUUGUGUCUUGUCAUCACUUGUUCGAAAAUUGCUUAAAUGGAGCACUGAACUCUAAUUCAAGAAAUCAAAGCUUACGAUCCUUGUUGUGCGUCCGAUUUGUUCUAAUAUUGCUAUCUUGUCACUGAAUCUUUGUUUUCCAUGUGAUUUCGUUGCAUACCCACCGUUUGAGUGGGCCGUGCGCUUCUCCCAUCUACCGAAGAUUUUUCCAGCCCCGGUGGAGCCCGUGGUUUAGGGCCGGUCCAGUCCGUCUUUUCUCCUUUGAUUAAUGUAGUGGUUGUUAGGCUAGAAUUGAUAUAUUUUGCUGUCUGGGAUUUUGUAACUUGCUUAAUCAUCGUCGAAGGUGCUCCAUCGACAGUAGAAACUGCCGGCCAGCUAGUGGCAGGUGGUGACUGGCGUCGGUCGGGAUAAACGACCCAUGUUGAGUGGUUUGACAGUGGCCUGAGCUUCGGUGAUGAGCUCGUUGGUGAUGGAUUUGGCUUUGGUGAAGGAGAAGCAUGGUCGAAGAAGGCUUGGGAAGAAGAAGACGUCGCAAAGAGAAGAGUAAUAAGGAGUUUAAAAAAAAAAUAGAAAAGGAAAAAGUAAAUAUAUAUAUGAAGGGUUCGAUUAUAAUUGGUUAGGAUCUGAUUACUCUAGUCGGGUCGGGUCGAAUGGUCGAGUCAUAUCCAAAGUAAUUGAGUCGCGUAGGGUUAAAUGAAUGGGCCAAUAUUUGAGCUCGGAUUAGGUUGGAUUUAUUAGAGGCCAGAUUUUUGGGAGUUGGGCUUGAGUUGUUGCAAAGGCUCAACCCCAUCAGAUUGACGUCAUGCUUUUAAUAGAUUGUGGGCUGGAUCCAAACGUAGGUUAUUUCUUGUAAAGUUGGACCGAGCCUAAAGCUCAGCCCAAUUUCGAGCUCCAACCCAAAUCAUUAGGGUCUAGGUCAGCCAGUCGGGCUGGGUUCCUUGACCCGGUCUGAAGUCCAUUGUCGGAGUAAAAAAUAAUCAUAAAGUCACAAAAAAUAAUAAGUAAAAAAAUGAGAAAUUUGAAAUAAAAAUAUGUAUAUUUUAGGAAAAAUAGGAAAAUAAAAAAUAAGUUGAAAAAUUGGAAAAAUGUGUAGAAAAAUCACCUUAAUUGAUUGCAUUAGAUUUUUUCCCUUCUUUUCCUUUCGCAAGUCUCAUAAUAUUCUUUAUUUUACUACUGCCAAACUUUUGAGAUAACGCACAGAAGCACUCUCUUUCUUGUCUAUUGUUUUCUUAAAGAUGUUGAAGUAUAAAACUUUGAGUUUGCAAGGAGUCGCAUUUUUAAAUAAUCUUUUGAGAUUCCAUGAUGCAGAAUGACACUUUGUCAAGCCGCCACUAAGGUGUAAAUUUCUGCAAACAAACUCUUGAGUGCAGUCAUGGGCCUUUUAACAUCAACCUCUUUCUAGAACAUUCUGCUCUGCUAGUAAGACUAUGGGGCUAGAUUAAGAAACUUUUAUGUUGGCCUAACUCAUCUGAAGCUCCUUCGUCUCUUUUCGUACUUUAAGCAUGAUAUAAAGGACAUUGAAACUUCUCUUGCUACUAAAUCCCGUAUGCCUUCCCUCUUCCCUCUCAGAACAGUAUAUAGAGUGAAGAGGAACAAAUAUCUCGAUGAUUGUUUAGUUAGGAAUAAUUGAAUGGAAUGAUUUCCAUGCUGUAAAAAAUUAACUUCCUAAUAUAUUUCAAAAGAAAAAAUGGUCCACCUGGGAACGUCGGUUUUUAAGGAUGAUGCAAAAACUACAGAUCACAAACCUUUUGUUGUUUACUUUACGUUUGUGCAUUUCAAAGGGUCUGUUGCACAUUGCUACGUUAAUUCCAUGUCCCACCAACUAGUGAGAUAUUUGGAGAACUUUGGAUGGAACUUGGUCCCUAUGUCAUUUUUUAUUUUUCACUGGUCAGAUAUCUCAAUGAUUCGUAGCAAAUACUUUCCUAAACUGCAGAUUUACAUCAAACACUUUUCAGGCAUCUGCCAUGGUUGAAGAAUGUUGGAGUAAUCCAUGACAACUAAAGUAAUGGCAACCAACAAGUAGAAACAAACAAAACUCACUAAUGCUACGAAGAGCAUUUUUUCAUUUUAAUAGAAAUACCCCAAAAUCCAACACUUUCGUUGCAAUCUACGAUUAUCACCAAACAUUACCAACUUGACGUUCAACCCCAAUUGCUCAACAGCUGCUGACCCUCUUGGCUUUCAUCUGGUUAACUGUGGUGCAAUUUUGCCGGCGGAAAGUCUAAACCUCUUGGCCUUUGCUGCGCUCCAGUCAUCUUGAGCAGGGAAAUUUUGCUGGCGGUCAAUCCAUUUUGAAUUAGACAGCUGACGUACAAGUGCUUGAACAUGACAGUUGACAAAGCAAAAGGAAAUUUCCCGUGCACAAGGUCACGGGACUAUGGAACCGGCCCAACUUAUUGGCAGCUUUCCUAGAGGAUCCCAUAAUCAAACAUUAAGUUUCUGACAUAUCUUCCAAAAGAGAGAUAUAGCCGCCCGUUAUUUAUAUUGGGGUGAAGGAUACCACCAAUCCAGUACCCAAUCACGAGACAUCCGGACAAGACGAGGAAAGAUUCCAACCCCAAUGGUUCUGGUCAAUACUACAUACGUACCACAAACAAAGGCUAGCACCAUCCCGUAUAUCGCAGUUUCAAUGCAAUAUGCUGCGGUCUUGGCGAAUCUACAUUGGAACACAGAUCCACCGCCCAAAGCAGUAUCAAAUAGUAAGAAUAAUACCAGGGUGGAGAAACCGAACGCAGUAGUGUUAGAUAUCACAAAGGCUUGGAAAGCUGCCCGGCGAGCAAGAGUCGCCAAUCCUUGGGUUGGCCCGUCGUUGUUAUAACCUCCGGGCAUCGUGAAGGUUGCAGUGAAGGUGACUGUGGCUAUGAGCACUGCCGCUAGCAAUUGAAUCUCGAUAACUCUCCUUUUUUCUGAUGAAUCGUCAUUUUCUCUGUUGGCGGUAUCACUUUCUGCGGUUACAGACACAGCACGUUGACC
rnacentral:lncRNA from 1 species